UUUAUUUAUUAUUUUAUUUUUGUCCACUCACUCUAACGUUAUUAAAUGUUUCCCCUGGGCCCUUCGUUUAAAUUGCCCAGUCUGCAGAGUUCGGGUUGGAUCUAGUAGGAGACGAGGCAUAGUCACCCGCAUUUCUGCCAGUUUUCGCCAGUAGGUUACCUGUUCAACCUACUCGUAUUUUCUUGCUUCCGCUUGUGUUUAGUAGCUCUGAAUACUUUAGAAUUUUUGUAUAUUAUGUGAUGUUCAGAAGUGUAAUAUGAAAUUUUCGAGUUAGGGUUGUCCAUCUGCAAGGGAGAUUUGCUUAAUCUUUUCAGUAAAUUUUCCUUGGAGGUGGUCCCCGCACGACUUACUUUGGGUUUCAGGGUGAAAUUCGGGGUGGGUCGUGUCAAAACCUCUUACUUCGCUCUCUAGGAUUUUUUUCCUAGUCUUUGUUCUAUUCAUGUCUCGACACUUGUUAUUUGGAGUAUCAAAUUUGAUAGAUGCAUAAUAUGCUACGUUUAUAAUGUAUUUCCUACCUUAUUUGGCUAUGUUGUUUCUUUAAUAAUACCAUUUCUGACACGUUUUGUGUUUAUAGAGUCACGAAGAGUAAUAAUUGAGAAAAGAAGGGUAAAACACAAAAAAUGAGAAGAAUCCUAAUUAAAGUAUGAUUCCCAGUCCAACUAGGAGGGAGAGAAAUAAUGACUCAUUGUCGUGCACACAAAUGAGAGAAACAAGGACUUAGAGUUGGAUAUGGAUUUCCUUAUGUGAGUUGUCAAGUAAAUAAGGGAGUUAUAUAUGUUUAUCUUAAUUCCUAUUGGUUCAAACACAAUGUUUUUCCUUGCUUGUAGGAGACUUGGCGUGCACAUCAGAAGAAAGGAAGGAGAGACGGAUUACAAAUCUCCCUUUGAGAGAAUUUGACGCAACAAAGAAGGAGAAGCAUGUAAUACCCCGUACCUAAAAGGUUACUGUUCGGGGUUAUGAGUUAUCGCGGAUUUUUCUUUAUUCGCGCUCGGAGAUUUAAAUAAUGAUUGCUCGAGUUUGUUUUCGAGUUUUUCUGAAAACGGUAAAUAGUGGAUUUAAAACUCCGAAGUCGUGGUACACGUUUAUACGAGCUCCACAGGUAUGCCCGGAUUAUUUUCCGGAGCGACGAGCUAUGUUCUUUGAAUUUAUGAAGUCUACAGUAAAUCUUUAAUUAUUGUUUCUUGUAACCGUUUUACCGUAAAAGACCCAAAAAGUUGACUUUUUGUUAAGUCAAUAAUUUGGGAAAACUUCCUUCAUGGAAGUCGUAGAGGACGUUAAUACGAGUUCGUGGACACAUGGCACGCUCAAAUCGGAGUUCGUAUGAGAAAGUUAUGGUCUAAAAAUGGAAAGUUACUAUUUCGAUAAAGGGUAUAAAAAGAGAGAGAGAGAGAGAGGUUCUAGAGGGGUCGGUUAAAACCGACCUAAGCAACAAAUUAAAAGAAAAGGAAGGUUCGAGAGAGAGGGGAGGGAGGAGAAAAAUCAGUUCAGACCCAGACCGGGUCAUUCUCGACCCGAACAGAGUCAGCGGGUCAACCCGACUGAUUCUCCGUUUUCCGGCGAUGGCGAGGAGAAAGAAUGGUAGCGGCAGCUUCCUCUCGUUCUCGUGGUCAUGUCCAUGCCCUUGAUUUUUAAAUAAGAAGUCUGAAGUGAGAGAUUCGAAGUGGAGAAGGAGAGGCUGGGUUUGCUGGCGAGUCUCCGAUUCCGGCAGCGUCGACGCCUCUCACUGGUAUGGAUAGCUUCAUCUCGAUCUCAGGAACCUUUCCAUGUUCCUCGUUUUCGAAGAGAAGCUCGGAGGAGGGAGAAUCGAAUAGAAGAAGUUCUGGGAUUUUUCCGGCGAGGGUUCGAUGUUUUCUGGCGACCUCCGAGUUCGACUCAGGUAUCAAAGGUGGUCUAUUCUUCGAGCUCUACCUGUUUGUAUAAUUGAAAUUGAGAUUGGUUGGGAUUUGAAGAAGUUGGGUUUUGGCAAUGGAGGACCGCCGUGUGUGCUACUGUGCACUACGGCGUUGAUGAUGUUUUGGAUUAGCUAUCUUUGAUAUUGAUAGAGGCUUUGGAAUAUAAUUUCGUGGUUGGUUGUAAUUGAAUUUGAGAUUGGAUGAAGUGGGUGUUGGGGCAGUGUUGUUCGGUGACGGAAGUCGUGAUUGAUAGUUCUGGGUUUGGGUUAUGUUUUGAUUGAAAUUGCAGGACAUGAUGUUGGUGUUGUCUAUGCAUGAAGUACAGAAAUGGAGGAGUAGGGUAUUGGAAGGUUAAGCUCAACAGUUGGGUUGUGGAGGAAGUUUGAAAUUGCUGUACUGGAUUCAUUUAUUUUGUUCCUUGUUAAUUUGGUUAAGUUGUUGGUCAACAAGAAGAAGAUGGGGUUGUGAUGGUGAGUUCAUUAUAUUGAUGAAAGCAUGGAGUUAAGGAUUAUGUGAAAUUAGGAAGGGAGUAUUCGGUGUUCACAAUGGUGGUGGUAGUGAUUAUACUUAAAUUUGGAUUUAGUAUAAUGUUAGGAAAGUUGAUGAGUGGUGGUUAUGGGUGUCUAUAGUAAAAUCAGAGAUAGGUUAGUAAUUGAAGUGUUGAUAUGAGCAAGUCUAAAGGUGAAUUGGAAUGUGACGAUGAAUUUAAUAUGAGCGAGCAUGAUAUAUUAGGAAACCGUCGGAGAAAGUGAGAGGAAGUGUGGGAUUGAGAACUUGGGUGUCCUUAUCAAUUUGAGGACUUACAUCCACACAAAUUCCAGAUUCGAUAAAGUUGUUAUUGAAGGUGGAGAAUUAGUAUAAAAUGAUGAACUACGAGUGGCUUGAUCCCUUUAAAAGGGUACGUAGGCAGACCGAUCAAGUUUUGGGUGCAGCCGCAAAUUAACAAAAUAAAUUUAGGUUCCAAACACAACAAACAUUUUGUUUGUUUUGAGAUCCUACCUCCGUUUCGAUUUAGGUUUUCCUUAGUUACUUUAUUCGUAUAUUCUUCUAACACCUGGGUCAGGGUGUUACAUAGCAACCUUGCCAUACAAGACCCUUGGAGACUAAGGAAUGUAUCCGGACAUGAUUUAAGCUAUAUUAGAAGCAUUGUUACACAAGAAAUUCUAGAGAGUUACAUGGAGAUAAACAUCAGACUUUUGUGCAAUUAAUGAAGACCGUUGGAUCAAGAUUGAAUCAAGGGCCAGGAGCAAUUGAAGGAUAAGGCGUUACCUCUAUAAAUAGGGAGCAAUAUGUAAUUUUUCAAUCAUAUCUUUUCACACCAAAAUCAGUAAACAACGUUAGCCUUCGUUCUCCUUUUGACGCUCCUCUCCAGUCAAGAAACAAUCUUAGCCGACAUCUUUGUAGGACUUCUCCAAAAAGUCACCGAGAAGCAUCAAGCAUGAUUGAUCAUUUGAACAUCUUAAACUUCUUGAAGAAGUAUAAAGUGUAACUCAUGACUUGUUUAUUUUGUUUUGUUGAUAGUCUUUUUUUAAUUUAUUUAUAUUUUUUUAUGGAUUUUAAAGUUGGAAUUGGUUGGUUGUUAAAAACAUGAAUAUGUUAAUUUUCAGAAUAAAUUCAAUCAUGUUUCGACUUGUUUGUGAUAACAUAUGAUCAGUUUUAUGUCUUGUGAUGUCAUUCGAUACAUAGUUAUGUUUGAAUAAAAACUCUAGUUAUGCAGGUUAGUGUUGUUAGGUUUCUUAAUUUAAUUCACCUAAUAGUCUUAGUCAGAAAUCCAAGUAGUAAAGGUUAUGUUAUAAUAGCCGAGACUAUGUGUUACAUGUUAAACAAUUUUCGUAAACUUGUUUUGCAUGUUCAAAUUCAGGACUUUAUGACACUUAAUGAUUCAUGUUUAGUGUAGACGGGUGCUCUUUAAUAUUGAUCACAACCUUUACAUGAAAUAUCUUAGGUUCUAUCUUAAGAGAUAAAGUAAGUAUAGUUAAAGGGAUGCGAUGACCUAUUUAGGCUUGCAUUUCAAAUUUGUUUUUGACUUGAAGCAUGUUGUUGUGUGUUUGAUUGUUUCUGAAAUUGCUGGUUGAUGAGUGUCGAAGAUGAUCACUUUUAUAUAUUUUAUGUUUUGCUUUACUUUUUAUUAGGAAUUUGGAACAAACAAACAAACCCCCCUCCCCCCAACCUCUUGUAUCACGUGUAUAUUUGUAAAUAAAUUCUUGUGAAUAAUUGUAUAUUGAUAAUUACUAACUAUUUUGACCAUUGUUCGCACGAGAGCCUUUAGUACCCGGUUAGAAUGAUACCCCGCUUAUUCUAUAUUAUAAUGUUAGGUUUUUAAUUGAGAAUGCCCCAGUUUCAGAUGCCUAUCAGAGCAUAUGCAGCGGUCUUCUUCCAUCAUGUCAAAAAACAUGAUAUCUGCUAAACUGAUGGUAAGAAACAAUGCAGUGGGGGAAAAUUUGAACCAGAUGCAUGGGUGGGACCCAAGUCCCACCAUCAGAAAAUCAGAGAGGCAAGCAACAUUUGUAUGCCGGUGUGAUGGCUAUCAAUUGGCGGGACCCACGUACGUGGGCUCCUGCCAACAGCUUCGUUUUUUUUUUUGUUUUUUUUUUUUUUUAAUCUGGCGCGUCUAAUACACGCGCCUUUAAAAAAAAAUUAAAAAAAAGCCAGACAGCUGCAGAGCCGUUGGCCAUUCAUGGGUUGCCAGGUGGCACCCUGUCUGGUGCAACGGCUCUUUCAGCUGCCCAAUGGUAAAGUUUUUUUGUUUUUUUCUUACCCCGAAAAUUGUAAAAAAACCCCAAAAUUUUUUUCCUAUAAAUACCUCAUUCUUUUCUUUACAAUUUGCACCACUUUUCUCUUAUCUCCUCUCAUCUCCUUCCAUCUUCCCUCACAAUUCUUUUUAGUGUUCUUUGAAAAUGGGUUCUAGUUGGCUUCUCUCCGAAGAGUUACAAUUGUGUGUUUCUUGGGUACGACAAUCCACUUGCAACAUCACCGGCCGAUAUCAAAACAAAAACAAUUUGUGGAAGAAAGUUCAUGACGAUUACGUCAAAAAUUGGUGUGUCGAUCCCGAAAAUCCUCUAGCCGAGCCUCGUACGAAAGUUGCGCUCGAAUCACAUUUUCCGCGCUUGAAGAAAUUGCUCAAGAAGUGGCAUACAUGUCUAUACAAAUCAAGAAACCGUGCGGCUAGCGGGACGAAUUUGGUAGAUGAGGUAUGCCUAACCGUUUGUCUUCAUGGAUUAAAUUUUUCCAUUAAUAUAUUUUUUGCUGUUUUGUCAUUUUUUCUUCAUGUAAUUUUUUUGUUAUUUCCAUUAACAUAGAUUAAAGUUUGUAAUUUUUUGUUGUUUAGGAAACUCAAGCUCAAUCAUUAUAUUUCAAAGAUGUUAGCAAGAAAUUUGACAAGAAAGAAUGUUAUGAAGCGGUGAUAAAUCAUCCUUAUUUCUUGACGGUUGUGAGUACUCCUCCAUUUGAGCGGAAUUUUCCAAUUUCUCCUGAGCUCCAUGACACGGAUGGGCAUGUUGACUUGGAUGAUGAUGAAGGAUUCACAACUCCCGCGUCCAACCAAAAGAGACCUCGUCCCUCAAGUCCGGUUAGGCCUAUGGGAGUAAAGGCGGCCAAGGAAGCAAAGAAGAAGGGAAAAAAAGGUAUGGCGGAGAAAUCAGUAGUCUUUAGCUAUUUUUCAUAAUAUGCAAUGUAAUCAAAAAGCACUUAUGGAGGCUAACAUGCGAAGAGACGAGGAAACCCUUCGGUUGGCUAGGGAGAGCUUAGAACUUGAGAACCGAAAGGAAGCAAGGUUAGCCCGACGUGAUGCUAUGGCAGAGUUGCAAGAAGAAACCAAAAUUAUGACAAUGGAUACAAGCAUCAUGACCCCGAAAAGUGUGAAGUGGCACAAAAAGAGGAAAUAGGAUAUCAUGGCAAAAAUGAAUGAGAGUACUAGUACUAGUGAUGAUUAUUAUGUUCCCCUCUUUGAUGAAGACUAAUAUUGUGUUCUUGUUAUAAUUUCAAUUUUAUGUUCCUCAAUUUCAAGUUAUUUUUAUAUAAAAUAAUUUUAUGUUUUAAUACUAGUAAUUUUAUGUUCCUCAAUUUCAAUACCAAUUAAAAUUACAAUACCAAAUAAAAAUUACAAUACCAAUUAAAAUUACAAUACCAAAUAAAACUCUACAACUUGAUUAUUGUUGGUUGACUUCCAAUGCGCAAUUGUGCUCCACUAAAUCAUUCUGAAGAAUUGUGUGGAUAUAAGCUGACUCGAGGUGGUCAAUACGGUCCCAAAAUGCAUGUUGGUUUCUUCCAUUUCUUUCCACUGGUAAAAAAGGAAUUCGAACCCCCUCAUGAUCUACUGGCCCAUCAUAAACUCUUGCUGCCAGUGGGUUCAAUAUAUCUUCUUCUUCUGGCUCGACAAAUUCUUCUUCUACAAAUUCAUCUUCUACAAUCAUGUUAUGCAAUAUGAUGCAAGUUAUCAUUAUGCUUCUCAGUGUCGAACUCCUGUGCAACCGAGCUCCAUGACGAAGGAUUGCCCAACGGGAUUGCAAGAUGCCGAAACACCUCUCUACAUCUUUACGGUAUGCUUCUUGUUUCUUUGCAAAUAGCUUUUGUGCUUGCGAUUCAGGGUUUGGAUUAGUUUUUACAAAUGUGGAGUACUUAGGAUAAAUUCCGUCAGCAAGAUAAUAAGCAUUGCUAUAUCUCUUACCGUUUGCGUGAAAAGUCACAGCCGGGCUGUUUCCAGCAAUGAGCCCUUCAAAGACCGGUGAUUGGUCGAGCAGGUUAAUAUCAUUUUGAGCUCCUGACACACCAAAAAAAGAGUGCCAUACCCACAUGUCAUGCGAGGCCACCGCCUCUAGAAUAAUAGUGGGACGACCCUUUCGGCCACUGUAAGCCCCAUGCCACUCGGUUGGGCAGUUCUUCCACUCCUAAUGCAUGUAGUCAAUGCUUCCGAUCAUACCUGGAAAUCCCCGCUGAUCAGCCCUAGCAAGAAGCCUUUGGAGGUCAGCCUUUGUUAGAGCCCGGAGAUACUACGGACCAAAAAUACCUACCACCUGUUGGCAAAACUUCUUCAUGCACUCUAGUGUUGUUGAUUCCCCCAUCCUGCGUAUCUCAGCACACUGAUCAGCAGCUGCACCGUACGCCAACAUUCAGAGGGCACCUGUCAUCUUCUGUUGGGGCAGCAACCCUAGUUUUCCAGUGGCGUCUGCUUUUUGAUGCCAAUAAGGGUCGUGGUUACAGAGAGCCGUCAUGAUGCGGUUGAACAGAUGGGUGUACAUUCGGUACCUCAGACGAAAUUCUUCCUCCCUAAAGAUCGGACGCUCGAUGAAGUAAUCUGCCAUGAGACUUGUUCCCCCAGCUACCCUAUGUCUGGGGUGAUUAGGAGAGCGACCAGGAUGCGAACCGCAUCCUUGUGGUUCAUCUGAAGUAUCAAGAUGUACCAUCAUCAUGGUCACGUUAGUCAUCAUGGCAUCCAUCGUCUCAGCGUCCUCUUGACUAUGUUGUUGCCUCUGCUUCAACAAUUUACGAAAAAAAACUCAUCGUAAUGAUGAGGAAAUGUGGCGAAGUAAUUGAAUGAAUGUGUUUUUGAAGAUUUGUAACUGAGUUGUGAAGAUUGUGUGAGUAGAGAGGGUGAUAAAGCUUAUUUAUGGUCAAUUUCAGAUGCCAAGAACUUGAAGUUUAUGUUACGUGUUGAAUCGUCAUUUGUCGAAAAUCCUAUCGAAAAUCCAAUGACAUUAUUUGGCCGACAAACACACACGUGUCACUUUUUGGUUGAUCGGAAAUCCUAUAACAUUAUUUGGGUGAUCACAACAUCUGACAAUGCCACGUGUCGUUAUAUGAUUGAUUAACUAUCAUAUAUGAAAUCCAAAAAAUAAAAGAUUAAAUCGAUGAAUAGUGAUUGCUAAAUUGACGGAGCUGCACCGCUGCAUAAAAACAAGCUCAGAAAAGCAAUUUACAGUGAAUAGUAAUUGAUGGAAGCAAUUUAAUUGAUGGUUUGAUGGUUUGAUGGUUUGAUGGAGUUGAAUGGGUGCAUAUGCCCUCAAUAUCAACCUAGAAAGUUCCUUGUAUAUUGAUAAUUACUAACUCUUUUUACCAUUGUUCGUACGAGAGCUCUUAGUACCCAACUAGAAUGAUACUCCGUUUAUUCUAUACUAUAAUGUUGGGUUUUUAAUUGAGAAUGCCCCGGUUUCGGAUACCUAUCACUAUCAACCUAGAAAGUUCCUCGUAUGGUACCUGAAUAAUAAAUUGCAUUGCAUUUUUUUGUAACUUAACUUUCAAAACACUUUGAUGGUACUUGAGUCAACCUGGUUUACUUAGUGACUUUCACGCUAGGCGCUCCAACAUUCAUUGAAUAAGCGAAGUAUUGUACCAACAAGUCCAUUUAGAUGUUUUGUAACCCAUAUCACUAGCAAUGGUCAAUUGCAUCGACUUUUUGGUACUUACGUCCAUUCUAGACGUUAAAUAGUCUAGAUCACAUGUACUAUAAGGGUAAACUAGUCAUGGCCAAAUCGCAAGAGCGCAUGCCUUCAUCUACCUUAGUCAUCUUCAAAAUGAAAACCAAAAAUAAGUUGCCAAUACACAAGAAUUAAACCUCUGAAUCUCAACAAGCCCCACUAGUUGAAGUUUGGAAGGGAAUCUUGUGAAGAGAUUUCCUCCCAACGACCCCAUUUAGAAUAUCCAUAGUUUCUAAUUCUUUUAAUUCCGCCUAACAGAGAGGAUGCUACCCAUUCAUUCCCUAGGUGAUGGAGAAAAUGUUCGGGUGUUCACAACUCUUUGCCGAAUAUAUAUCUAUCUUAUUCAUCGUCAAAGUGAAAACCAAACUCUAAGUUGUCAAUACACAAAGAUUAAACCUCUGAAUUUCAACAAGCCCCAUUAAUCAAAGUUAGGAAGGAAAUCUUGUGAAGAGAUUUUACUUACAACAACCCCAUUUAGAAGAUAAUAUUUUGGGAGAUAAUUGAAUUAUGUGUUGGAUCUUUUGUUAAGGAAAUAAUCAUCAUUACAACUCACUCAUUUGGAUUGAUCAUUAACCUCCGCCUAUUAUGAUUUUUGAGAUAAGAACAAAACAUGAAAGAAGUUGCAUUCUAGUCAAACCUGAUAAAAGAUUUGAUUGGAAGUGAAGAAGGGAGAUCCUUGUAGAUGGUGAGAUCAAUGAUACUAGAGGAAGAGAGAGCAGCUGUUGGAUUGUUGCAGUUGCUGGUUUAAUUGAUUGAUACCUAGCGUGCUAUUCACAAAAGUGUUAAGGAAAAUGGUGAAAUGGUUGGCCAUGGUGUUAGUUUAGGUACCACUAGAGUAGUUUUGAAAGUCAAGGUACCCAAAAAAUGCAAUAGGCUCAAGUACCAUACAAGGAUUUUUCCUAUUUCAAUAUUCAAACUUACAAAUAACAGUUCCUUCAAAAAUGUAUCUCAUGUUUUAUAAACUUGUCAGCUUGACCCACUAACUUUAGUUAUGAUCAAUAAAUGUGUUAAUACUUGCACAUAAUUAUUGAAUAUUUAUGAACUAAAACUAGGAGGUCUCGUCCGCAACAGACGAAAACCUAUAUAACAAGUUUGAGCAUUUAGAGCAACUCCAACAAUGUAGUUAAAAAAUUUCAUCAAAUUGAAAUUUGAUUGGUUCAUAUUUUGAAAAGGUUUGCUCUAGUAGAGAUGUCAAAUUUGAAUGUUAUUGCAUUGUUUUUCACUUAGUAAGUUUUUGAAACAUUAACCAACUUGCAUAUGUUGUUUUCCUAACAACAUAAUUCAAGUAGUAGUUAUGCGCAAUUAAACUAAUAGUUCUUCAAAAUUCAUGACAUCAAGUAUCCAUAAACAUAUAUAUACAACAACCGUGACCAACUGGUCGGAGCCAAGGUUACCAAGUCAACAAAGAAGAAGUGAAUGUGCGCUUUGCAGGUGUCAGUUGUUGUAAUAAACAUGGAGUGUUUGCUACUUAUAUUUUUCGGUCAGUAUUUUGUUUUCGUCUUGUUCAGUCAUAUGCCUAAGUUUCCUCCAUCUUCAUGUGCCUAUUCGUAGAAUUGGGUGCUCGAUAGACUUGUGUUUUUUCUAGUUCUGUAAUCAGGGCCGGUCCUGAAGAGUAGAAAACCCGAUGCGAAAAAAAAUUAAAAAAUCAUUGGGCCACUUAUAUUAAAUUUCAUUUUUAUUCAAAAAAAAAACUUUCAAAAUUAAUAUACUCUUUAUUGUUAUCGAAAAACCCUCUUAUAUACCUCAGUAGUAAUGUUUUCUCUUAAUAUUUUUAUUAAUAUAUAUAUGGGCGUCAAAUAUGCUCUAAUUUUCAUUUCACUCAGUAAAAGCUGUCUUUUUCAGUUUUUUUUUUUUUUUGGAUUUUCAGUUUUUCUCAACAAUGUCUAAUAAAUUGUAUUGUCCAUACCAAUGACUAAAAUAUUGAAUGUAAAAAAAAAUGAUUAAAAUAUUGAAGAUCAUGAAAAUAUCAAUGAUUUGAAAUUCGGAAUAUCGAGAUCGGUAAAACUUCAACAAAAACUAUAGAAACUUGCAAAAUAAAAGGUAGUUUUUAAUUUUUUAUAUCUGUAAGAAAUGUCUACUAGACUAAUUAUGUAAUGUAUUUUAAAUAAAAAUAUGAAAAAGAUAUUGUUACGCGAUAUGUUAGUACCGUAUAAGGUGAUUAGUAUAGGUCUAGUAUUUCUUGAGAUUUAAGUCGACCAAUAUUUUUAAUCUAUUUCUUGAACCAAAUAAAGUGUUUUACUUUUUUUUUUGUUUUUUUGAGGAAAAGUGUUUUACUAAUGUUCAAACAGUAAGAUAAUAAAUUUGAUUAAUUACUACAAAAUAAGCUAACAAAAGAUAAUAAAUAAACAUGAGACAUUUAAACAAGCUAACGAAAAAUAAUAAAUAAAAAUGAGAUAUCUCUUAAAUAUAAGAAUAUGAAGAUAGCUAACAACUUUGUGUGUAGCAGGGUUGGUUGUGUUUAGCAGGGUUGGUUGUGUUGUUUGGUUUUCUAUUUAAACAGACAAUGUUUGAAUCCCCAAACUCCUAUAGGGCACAAUUUUCUUAUUUUUUUGAAUUUUGAUCAGAUUAUCAAAUUGGACUUCAACUUUGGCACGCCCUCCAUUGGACUUGAGCCCAUUGCGAGCGCACGGGCUGCACUGCACUUGUGUCGGGCCUGUAUGUAAUAUUGUCUAAGAUCUAUUAAUAUGAUGUUUGUCUCUAGGACUCCAACCUCUCGCAUGUCAAUCCUAAGGAGUGUUGGACCUCCCCAUGCUUAGCUUUGAUGUUUUUCAGCUUUUAUUUUCUUGGUUUUGUUUGCUGUUUGUUUCUUUAUUUGUAGUUUUUUGUUGCUUUAGUUUGAUUUUUGUUAUAGUUGUUUCUCUGCUCUUGUGGCUUAAUGAAUAAUGAAUGUUUCAUUUGACCAUAAAAUAAGAGUGCAAGGAAAGAGUACAAAAUGAAAAUACAUGAAGAUGAUAACAAGGAUUCUUUGAAAUCAGGGAGGUUUUAAAGUCAUCUACAUCCUCAAAUAAUCGUAUCUCAUGUAUGUUUUUGCCUGUCCUCUUAGUAUAUGUCAUUCUUUCAUUAAAAAAAACAAAAAGCAUUUCCACCAAUAUGCAUCACCAUUAUCAAGGACGCUGUUACUGUCAAUAAAUAAAACUACUGCUCUAAAUAGAUAUAAACUUGCUAAGGCAGCUAUAUGCUUUUAGUUUUAGCAGUACCCUUAUUUGUAUAUGUUCUUUUUUUUCUUUUUUUUUUUUUUUUUUUUUAUUAAAUGAGAGAAGGAAAUUACAUGGAGAAACCUCUAUAACAACCUAUACUAAAACGAUAAAAAUUAAAAGCAUUAAGUGCGAAGAGCGGGAGCUUGCGAUUCCAAAGAGUUGGAUUUAGGACCUGAUGCCUCAAGCUAGCUAUUGCAUCGGCCAUCCUUAUUUGUAUAUGUUGCCCUCAUUAAGAAAUCAAUGAGUAUGACCAUUAAAGCUUGAGCGUGUGACUAUAUACAUAUAUAUAGUCAACCAUGUACUCAAAGUCAGAGGCGUAGGGAAGGGGGGGUCAGGGGGUUCAGCUAACGUCCCUCAUAUUUUUUAUUAGGUCAUAUUGUUGUCUAAUUUAUUAGUUGAAAUAUGAUGUUAGCACUAUUUUGACCUUUCUAACUAAUUAAAAAAAAGGUUUGACAUAUAAAAUAUUAAUUACAACAAUCAAUUUGGACAAAGGAGUGUUCAACUCCUCAUGUGUGUUUGUUACGUGUGGUUCUCUUUAUUUUUUUAAUAUAGGUUUCUAAUCCGAAUCAAUGAUUGAUUGCAUCUCGCUUUAAUUUUACAAUUAAAACAUAUUCCUAGUCUUUUUUUUGUUGUUGUCUUUUUAAUUAAUAUGUUUUCCUAAUCAAUCAAUGAUUGUGAUUGAUUUCUCAUGCACCUCUAUAUAAACAGUUUUAGUCGCUUCUUUACGUAUAUCUUUUUGUUAUCCUUCAGUAAAUUUUUCUAUGUCGUCGACAACCUUCAUAAUUAAAAACUUGCAAUUAUGGAUGUUUUAGCUUUAUUUGAAAAGUAUCGUAAGAGAAAAACAGUAGAACAUUCGACACCAUUUUAAGCUCCUCCAAAAUUUCAAAAUAUGAGCAAUCGUCAAGGACAAUUAUAAUUACUUUAGGAAUAUUUGUUAUUUUGUUUAAUUUUUGUUUUCGAAGUAUUCUAAUGAUUUAUAAGCUUUUAUAUUAUUAUUCAAUAAAAAUUAUAUUUUUAUUUUGUGUGGCAUUAUUGUUUAAACUUUUGAUCUUUCUACUUGUGGUUUCUGGCUACGCCACUACUCAAAGUAUAACGUAACAAACUAGUGAUACAACAAAUAUCCUUAUACAAAAGUGAUAUAAUAACCAUGCUCAACCAGUAUACAGUGAUAUAACAAACAUUAUAAAUAUGCACCGAUAAAUGAAUUAGAGUAAUGAACAAGAAAUACAAUUGUUGAUACCUGAAUUUCAACAUUGUACGUAAAGCAUUAAAUUGUUUUGAUCUGCUCCAAUAUUUACAUAUAUACAACUACAUAGUUUAUGGUUUGCAAAAAAAUACACCAGUAUAAGAAUCAAAAUUGCAGAAAAACAUUAUUGUUGCACCAAUAAAUGAAUAAGAAACUCACUCAAAUAAAACUAUGAAGUGCAUAAGUAGGUGGAAAUCAAUACAAUUCAAAUAUGUACCGACUUAAGUAAAAAUCACUGCUUCAUAUAAUGCAAAUCGAUUCAAAAGCUAUGCACCAAUAAUCAUGACGAAUUUAUAACACAUAAUCAAACUACUACAUUUAGAUUUUGCAAAAUACUACAUUUGGACUACUACAAAAUAAUCACUGCUUCAUUUAGAUUGUUCAACUCUACUAUCAGACUCUAUUUCAAUCUGGCAAAGAUUCAAACUACUCAACUUAGUUUGGGAUUGCUGUGAGAAACCUCAAUUUUUUUUUUAUUUUUUUAAAUUCAGUUUCAAAAAAGCAACCCCUAACUUGCUUUCUAAAAUCGUGGUAAUUUAAACUAAAAAGUUUUAGAUAAACACCUUAUCAGAUUUGACCAAAGAUGAUAUCUUUUCAAAAUGUGACUAUAAGUGAUUUUAUUUACCAAAACUCAAUACCAAACUGGGCCUACAUCAACCAAAAUUCAAACGAUAUCACUUCCAAAACUCUACAUAAUCCACAACAACUCUUGAAAAGACUGCAUAGCUCCACAACUCCAGGUAUAAGAGAAACAAGAGUUAGUAACCAUGGAAACAUUUGAGAUGUAAUAAUAUUGUUGAUAGAACAAACACACGUAUACAUACCAAUCAAGUAGUCUUUAUACCUACCAACUAACAUCCAUAUAUUGGUUCUAGCCACAUGAAGUUGCCACAAAUGCUCAGUAAUGUAUGUUUGAUGCAUUUUAUGUGUUCCACUGUCCCUAAUAGCCAAAUGAUUGUUGAUAAACUCUUCAAACUCAAUUGUGUGAUUACGUGAAAAUAGAAAAUGAUAUGCUCAUCCGGUUCAACAUACUACCUCGCAAGAUUUUGUGAUCAUUGGUCGCACUACUUUCGGCACGUUCAUCUUCAAUAAUCAUGUUAUGCGUUAUAACUUAUGCUUUCACGAUCUUUUGAAAAGUUUCAUGAUCCUAAAACGAGUAGAUCCCUUCACAAUUGCAAAACAUGCUUAAAUCACACCAAAAACUUUUUGUACAUCUUUUUGCCACCCCUCUUGAGUUUUAGCAAAAUUCUUUGCUUUCUCUCCUUGUGGACAUGAAAUUGUUUUGACGAAAGUGGACCGUGAAUGAUAUAUGGCACUAGCCAAAUAAUAUCUCAUUUUCUAGUCAUGAUCAUUUGCCCUAAAAAAUUGACCUGAGGAGCUCGGCCUUCACGAAUUUUGCCGACUAAAGGUGAAUGCUCCUCAUUUGUAUCACCGUGAGAAUUGGGUGAACAAAAAAAACGAAUGUCAUAUCCAAGGAUCCUUUGAUGCAACAAAUUCAAGAAUCAAAAAAGUUUUUUUUAUAUGAGAAAUAAACUUUUACUAAAUAGAGGUGCCACAAAAACACCUUAAAUUUACACUAUCCAAGACAAGGACCAAAGAAGCAUCUAGGUGAUGUAGAACGACUUGCAUAAGAGUUUGAGGAGCAGCUGGAACAUCAACGUCGUAAGCAAGUUUAAGUUUUCUAUUAUUCUUAAGAUUAUGAUUUAUGAUUCAAUAGGGAUUUCUAGUUCCAACAGGUUUUGUUAUUUCCUAGUUCUAUUCUAAAUAGGAUUUAGUCAUAAGUUAGAGCCUAUAUAAGGCACUCUCUAUGUAGUAUUAGGCAUUCAACAAUUCAAUAAUAUUUCAGAAAACUCAGAGAUUUAUCUCACUUAUGGCCUUCAAAUUCGGUUCGACGCUUGUCUACCGAUCUCACCUUUCUACCUAUAGUUUUCAUUGCGUUAGGUGGCAUCAAAGCCUGGUCUCGCCUGGAUCGAUGUUAGACGACGAAGCGGAGGUUCCUGUCACAACACUCGCCGACGCUGGUCGGGAGAUUACUCCAAUGAAACAAGAUAUUGGGAAAUUUUGUCAAGACACCAACAAUGCUUUGGCAAAUUUAACAACUUUUGUGCAGCAGCUUACGAUGGAGGUGCGGGCAGGAGGAUUUGCCCGAGACCAACGCCGUCGUCAAGAACAAAACUAUGAUUCUGAGGAAGAAGAAGAAAGGGGCCCACCAAAUAAUCGACAACAAAAUCGCCAUGAAGAAAAUUACAGAAUGAAAGAAGACAUAUCUUUCUUCUAUGGAAACUUAUAAAUUGAAGAGUUUCUUGAUUAGCUUUCAGAAGUGGAUAGGUUCUUCAGUUUAAUGGAUGUUCUAGAAAACAAACGAGUGAAGACGGUUUCCUGGAAGCUAAAAAGCACAGCUACCUGUUGGUGGGAUGAUUUGCAAGAGUCUCGUAUUCGACAAGGAAAAGAACCUGCCAAAACAUGGUGAAAGAUGAAAGCCCUUCUCAAGGGACGUUUCUUACCUCAAGAUUAUGAGCAGACUUUGUUUGAAAAAUAUUAUGACUGCGCUCAGAAGAAUCGGUCAGUGUUUGAUUUCCAUGAGUUUAUGCGACUUAGCGAGCAAAACAGACUUGAAGAAAGAGAGACUCAGAAAGUUGCAAGGUAUCUACAUCAUUUGAAGCCGGAAAUCCAAGAAAAGAUAGGGUUGCAGACAAUAUGGACUCUAGUGGAAGCCAUGAACUUAGCUCUAAAAGUAGAAACUCUAUUAGCAAGUAGUAAAGUUAAGCAGCAGACUACCAUGAGUUAUCGCAGAAAUUGGCCUAAACCAUCUACUUCAAAAGGAUUGCAAAUUAAAGAGCCUACAAGAGAGCAACAAGUUAGAACAGAAACAAGUAGUGGAGACCGAGGAAAAGCUAUUGUUCCGUUUCGAAAACAAGAGCAACCUGACAACUUAGGGGACUAUGUGAAACCAAGGGGAGAAAAGUGUAAUCAAUGUUUUAUGCCUGGUCAUACUUCCAACAUGUGUCCCAAACCAAGGGGAUUACAUUAUGUGGAAGAACAUGAAGAUGAUGAAAAGUAGGAUGAGAUUGCAACUACUGAAAUCGAAGGCCAAGAUUUUGAUGACAUCCCACAGUUCCUAGUUUGUCAACGGCUUCUAUUAGCAAAGCAAGGACCCGACACUUAAAGGCAUAACAUAUUUCGCACUAAGUGUAUUAUUGGUGGCAUGGCAUGCAAUCUAAUAAUUGACACUGGUAGUUGCGAGAACUUCGUGUGCAAGAGAGUGAUCAACCGUUUCAAGCUUCCUACAACAAAACAUCUAACACCUUCCGUUGGUUGGAUUAAAAAGAGACCUACGGAGCCUAUGACAGAAACUUGCAAAGUUCCUAUAACUAUAAGACCAUAUAAAGACGAGGUGGUCUGCAAUGUUGUAGACAUGGACUCCUCUCAUAUUCUGUUUGGAAGGUCGUGGCAGUAUGACGUAAGAGUGGCAUUUGAUGGGUACAAGAAUACCUACAGCUUUGUGUGGGAAAAAAACAAGAUUGUCUUGAAGCCUAGUAUCCCGCAUGAAAUUAAUUAUGAUGGAAAGAUGAAGACAACAAACUUUCUCACUUUAUCAAGUUAUGAACGUGAGCUUGAAGAUGAAAUUAAGGAAGCACUUAUUUGUUGUCCUAUUGUGAUAAAAGGUCUUUACACCACCGAACAAGAAGUAAUGGAGGCACAAGUUCCAGAAAAGGUGAAGCAUAUAAUUAGUGAUUUCUAGGAAUUGAUGUCAAAAGACAUACCGGAUGAGCUACCACCGAUGAGAAAUAUUCAACAUCGAAUUGAUUUAAUUCCGGGAGCUAGCUUGCCUAAUCUUCCUCACUACUGCAUGAGUCCGAAAGAGAAUGAAAUUUUGAGGGAGAAAAUCAAAGACUUGUUACGAAAAGGGUUCAUUCGUGAAAUCAUAAGUCCUUGUGUAGUUCCUGUGUUAUUGGUACCAAAGAAAGACGGCAGCUGGCGUAUGUGUGUUGAUAGUCGCGCCAUUAAUAAGAUCACCAUUCGGUACAGGUUUCCAAUUCCACGUUUGGAAGACAUGCUUGAUGUUCUUAGAGGAACAAAGUUCUUCUCUAAAAUUGAUUUGCAGAGCGGGUACCACCAAAUUUGAAUCAGACCCGGAGAUGAAUGGAAGACAGCUUUUAAGAGCAAAGAUGGCUUAUAUGAAUGGUUGGUGAUGCCGUUUGGACUUUCCAACGCCCCGAGCACUUUUAUGCAUCUCAUGAACCAAGUAUUGCGCCCAUAUAUUGGAAAGUCCGUAGUCAUCUACUUCGAUGACAUUCUCAUUUAUAGCAGGUCUGAAGAAGAGCGCACCUCGAGCAUAUUAGACAAGUUCUUAAGGUUCUUCAAGAUAAUCAGUUAUACAUCAACCUGAAGAAGUGUUCUUUCCUGAAGAAGUAUUCUUUCCUCACCGAAAAGUUGUUAUUCUUGGGGUAUGUAGUAAGCUCCGAAGGAAUACAUGUGGAUGAAGAUAAAGCGAAGGCAAUUAAGGAAUGGCCUACUCCGAAAACCGUUAGCGAAGUGCGAAGUUUUCAUGGUUUAGCGACGUUUUAUCGACAAUUUGUUCCAAAUUUCAGUGCCAUUAUCGCACCUCUCACCUAAUGCCUUAAGAAAGUAAAAUUUUAAUAGGGAGAAGAGCAAGAGAAGAGUUUUGCCUUGAUCAAGCAUAAAUUGUGCACAGCUCCAAUAUUAGCCUUACCAGAUUUUGAUAAAGUUUUUGAGGUGGAAUGUGAUGCAUGUGGCGUAGGAGUUGGUGCAGGUUUAUCUCAAGAAAGGAAGCCGGUUGCAUAUUUUAGUGAAAAGCUUAGUGAAGCUCGACAAAAGUAGAGUAUCUAUGAUCAAGAAUUUUAUGCCGUGGUUCGGGCAUUAAAACAAUGGGAGCAACGCGAAUUUGUUCUCUACACCGAUCAUCAAGCUUCGAAGUAUAUUAAUAGCCAGAAGAAUGUGAGCAAGAUGCAUGUUCGUUGGGCUACAUUCUUACAAAAGUUUCCUUUCGUAAUUAAGCACAAGUCUGGAACCUUAAAUCGAGUGGCCGAUGCAUUAUGUCAAAGGAGCCAAUUAUUAGUGACGUUGUCACAAGAAGUUAUAGGGUUCAAAUUUUUGAAGGAACUAUAUGAGGAGGAUGAAGACUUCAGAGAGAUUUGGAGCAAGUGCAUAAAGCAUGAACCAUCCAAUGACUUCUUUUUAAAUGAAGGUUAUCUCUUCUGUGGCAAUAAACUAUGCAUACCCCAAUCUUCAUUAAGAGAGAUGUUGGUACAUGAUUUGCAUGGUGGUGGGUUAAAUGGUCAUCUUGUUAUAGAGCUAAAAUAAUUGCAAGUUUGGAAUAAAGAUACUAUUAGCCUCAAUUAAAGAAAGAUGUUGGCAACAUUAUCCGGAAGUGCUAUAUAUGUCAAGUUUCGAAAGGACAAUCACAAAACACUGGUCUUUAUAUGCCUCUACCGGUUCCUAACGUCAUUUGGGAAGAUCUUAGCAUGGAUUUCAUUAUGGGGUUACCUCAAACACAACGUGGGGUCGACUCCGUCUUUGUGGUGAUUGAUAGGUUUUCUAAAAUGGCACAUUUCAUUCCUUGCCGAAAGACCUCUGAUGCUUCUCACAUUGCCAAGUUGUUCUUUCGAGAAGUUGUUCGACUGCAUAGGGUACCUCGUAGCAUCACUUUCGAUCGAGAUACUAAGUUCCUAAGUCACUUUUGGAUUACAUUAUGGAAGAUGUUUGACUGCUCUUAAUCAUAGUAGCACCGCUCACCCACAAAUUGAUGGUCAAACUGAGGUUAUGAAUCGAAAAUUGGGAAAUAUGAUAAGGAGCACUUGUGAAGAUAAAAAAAAGGGAUUACGUCUUACCGCAAGUUGAGUUUGCGUACAACAAUUCCAUACAUCAAUCAAUUGGAAAGACUCUGGUUUCUGUGGUGUAUGUCUCCCCACCGAAGCAUGUUAUUGAUCUUACAAAUAUACCAAGAGACAAAGGCUUUAGUGUGGCAGCCGAGUCUAUGGCUAAGGACGUGCAUGAAGUUCAAGAAGAAGUCAAAAUGAAGCUAGAGGCAAGCAAUGCAAAAUAUAAAGCACAUGCAGAUUCUCAUAGGUGAGAGAAGGUGUUCAAAGAAGGAGAUUUUGUUAUGAUCUACUUGCUCAAAGAAAGGUUUCCCGCUGGCACUUAUAACAAGCUUCAACCUCGUAAAUAUGGUCCAUACAAAGUGCUUCGAAAGAUCAAUAAUAAUUCCUACGUCAUUGACUUGCCUGAAUCAAUGGGAAUUUCGAAGACCUUCAAUGUAAGUGAUAUCCAUGAAUUUCGAGCAGAUGAGCAUGCUUCCUAUCCUGAUAUAAACUCGAGGACGAGUUCUUCUCAAGUGGGGGAGAUUGAUGUAGAACGACUUGCAGAAGAGUUCGAGGAGCAGCUGGAACAUCAACGUCGUAAGCAAGUUUAAGUUUCCUAUUAUUCUUAAGAUUAUGAUUUAUUAUUCAAUAAGGAUGUCUAGUUCCAAUAGGUUUUGUUAUUUCCUAGUUCUAUUCUAAAUAGGAUUUAGUCAUAAGUUAGAGCAUAUAUAAGACACCCUCUAUGUUGUAUUAGGCAUUCAACAAUUCAAUAAUAUUUUAGAAAACUCAGAGAUUUAUCUCACUUAUCACCUUCAAAUUUGGUUCGAUGCUUGUCUACCAAUCUCACCUUUCUACAUACACAUUCUUCCCAAAACGAAUACGAUUCAACCCUAUGUCCAAGAAUUAAAGAAGGUUGAUGAUGAAAUAUGGAAUAAGAGUCCAAAUCGGUCUUUUUCGCAUACCAAUCUCAAGUUUCCAUAUGUCUUGUAUAAACCCAUAAAAGGUUUCAAAGCAGGUGGAACGCUGAUGGUAUAUCCCACCGAAGAGGAGGCUUUAGCCGCUUUUCAAGCUAUCAAACCAUUACUUGAAUACUAUAGGUGCCGAUGUCAAGCUGUUUGGGUCAUUUCAUACAUUCAUCUAGAUACCUACUUGGGUUGUUAGGUGAAGCAAGGGAUUUGUAAUAUAGAUCAAAUUCAACAGUGGUUUUCUCUAAACCAUCCGGUUUCUUAUGAUCUCCCCGACACCCUUAAAUUCUUCAACAAUCUAGGGCGUCUGGUAGAUAGCAAAGAAUGAUUGAAUCUCUGCAAAAACCCAACUUAUUGUGUGAACAUUAAGAGAGAGAUCCGUGAUUGGAGAAAAUGUGUGGUGGCUGAUAAUAAUCUCAAUUUUUUUUUUUUUAAGAAUUUUUAAGCACCCAAUUACAAGGGAGACAAGUUCAANNNNNNNNNNNNNNNNNNNNCUUCUCUCUCUCUCUCUCUCUCUCUCUCUCUCUCUCUCUCUCUCUCUUUUCAAAAAAACCAGCCAUUAAAUUUACCGUGGCAGGGAGGCCAAAUAUAUUCAUGUUUAUGCUUCGAAUGCGAUGAAACAUUACAGAAAAAAUUCUGGUGUUGGUGAGAAGAAGUUGACAAAGGGCAAGGUAAUAAACCAUUUGUACCCGGACUAGCUAACACAAUGUACUUGAGGUAUGCAAAAGCGGUGGUUGAAGGUUCAUAUCAACAUAGUCUUUUUGAUGCGGUUCAUAUCAAUUUGAGUCAUGACACAAAAGGUGGAUGUGAGCUGAACAAGAAAAUCUGAGCUUUGUUGUUAGGGUGUUAUAUUGCUACUCAAAGCUUUGUUGUUAGUCGAAAUUGAACAAGAAUCAAGAGUGUCCCAAGAAGAAUUAGGGUGUUAGGAGGCAGUAGGCAUUAAUCCUUUUCGCAGAACUUUAAUAGUGUGUUAGGAGGACAAAAGAUUUAGAUGGAUUUGUUACGUUUUACUGUAUUUUGUUAUUCAACUACUAACUAAGAGUUUGUUUGACUAAGUUAUUUCUAGUAUAGAGGUGAGUAGGUUGAAAUUUUAGCUUUGGAUGUGCGUAAUUUCCUAGAACUAGAACUACGAGCAUCAAUCAUUUGUUGUAUUGUUCUACUUUCUGGCUUUGUUUUCUCUUAUCUAUGUUUAAGCUUGCAACCGUCAGACUUGAAAGUUUGGAUAAGUUAGUUUAGCGUUCUUGAUUUUUCUAGUAAAAAUAAAAUAAAAAUAAUAAUAGAAAAAAGAAGGAUGACAAUAAUCUCCACGAAAUAACAUACAUUUCCAAGCAAUCAGACAAUAGGUAAAGUUCAAAAGAAAAAAAAAAAAACUUAAAUCUUCUCCUUGCCCUUAACAUUAUGGCCUGAUUUAGUAUUGAGUUUUGAAGAUUAAAAUCACUUAUAAUCACUGUUUUAGAUAGAUUUUAUGUUUGGUAAAACUUAAAACGUGUUUAUCUAGAACUUUUUAGUUUAAAUAACCACGAUUUUAGAAAGCCGGUUGAGGAUUGCUUAUUUAAAACUGAGUUUUUAAAAAUUGAGUUUUUAAACCACAAUACCACAAUACCUAUCAUUUGACCACAAUUUUUCUUGUUUAUUAUCCUUAUUUUACCUCUAAAUUCCUUUGAAUUGUGGAAUUUUAAAACUCAUUAUGAACACCCAGGUUUUGUUUUGGAAAUGUCAACCAUGUUAAGCUUAGAUCAAUCGAACAUCAAAUGGAUCUUUUGUAGUAUUUGAAUUUGUCAAUAAGUUAAUUGAAUUGUUUAGUUGUAGAUUGAUAAAAACUAUUCCAAAAACAUCAUAAACCAUGCACAAGAUCACUUCACCAACAUGUUCAAGUGUUUCAUUCUACAAAUCAGAUUGUUAGACCAAAACUAAAGCAAGGUCAGCUUAAAUGAUUGAAGUUAUUAGUCAUGGAGGUUGGCCUGGGCAUGACUGAUUUUCCUUGAGGAUUUUUUUCUUUUUUUGAACUGAGGGUAAAAGCGGUUAUUAAAACUUUCAAAAAUGUUAGGUGGUCUAACUGUUAUUUUUGUAGAUAGGAAUAGAAGUUCCUAAAGAGCAGAGACUUUAAUAUUUUCGGACCUAAAAUUAUUUGUAUAUAUAUUUUUUUUUCAAAAAUGUUCGAAUCUAAGUGUUAUUUUCGGAGAUAUAAAUAUAAAUUCUUAAACAGCAGAGACUCUAACAAAUUCUUAUAGAGCAGAGACCCUAAUCUUUUCGGACCUAAUAUUGUUCGUAUAUAUUUAGGAAAGCGAGAUUAUGGGGUCUUAACUCAAAUUUGGAAUAGAUAUUCGGUUUUCCAAAAGGGAAAUUCAUCUGAAUGGUAUCUCAACUUUUGCUCCUUAUAAACUUUGGUAUUUCAAGUUUCGAAAACAUCAUAAUGGUACCUCAAGUUUUCACCUCGAUUGAACUUUGGUACUUUAUGCCGUUACCUCCGUUACGGUGCCGGCCACCUAGCAAUUUUUAAAGGGCAGUUUUGUCUUUUUAUUAUAUUAAGGCAUUUUUUUACCUUCAUGGGUCCAAAUUUGAUCUUUGCACCCAAAGGAUUUUCUUCCAUCUUCCACAGCUCCAGCUACCGUUUCUAUUCUUCUUCAUCGUCCUUCUCGAUUGUCGAAACAUACACCAAAGCUUUGAUACCCUGAUCCUAUUUUGAAUGCCUCUCUUUCAAGAAACAAACAAGAAUUGUUGCCUCAUGGUUGUACUGGUUCUCAUUCUUGGUCUUUGCCGAGAUAAACCCAGCUCACCUACGUAAAUCACCCAUCUUAUUUCACCAUGUGAGCUCAAAUUUCCAAUACCCAUCUCUGAAUUUGAUCGACCUAAUUCUCUAUUUCAUCUAAAAAUCAUGCCUCAUUUACCAAUUUGCUAGAUAUUUGAGUUUUGAUAAUGUUGAGCUUGAAAUCAUCAGAGCAAAUUUAAGGGUUCACAAUGUAUUUGGUAUGUGAUUUUGUGGUCAUUAAAGCCAAGUGUUACUAUAAACAAGCACCUAAACGGCCAAACCCAACCCGAUCCUCUUCUGAACUCCUCCAGCUUGAAGCAGGACUCGCCACAGUUCGAUAGACUCACCGGAAAACCCAAAGAACGCUGCCGCCGAAGUUAGGAACUCGGAACCCAGAAAAGAUAGAAAAGAGGGAUUUUCGGAUUAGACUCGAUUUGAAGGAAAUAAAAGCACAUAAAGAAAGAAGAAGGAAAGUGGAGAAGACCCUGCCCAUCGGGACUCAAUUCGUGGCCGGAAUCGUCGUGUGUCGGCGGAGAACAGCUGGUGCUUCUUGCCGUCGAUUAGCUUUCAAACCGGCUUGCAUAUAAGGUUUGAGGGCUGGGUUUCGUAUAGAAGAAGAAAAGGAAGAGAUUGGUGGUGGUUUUGUGAAGGAUGGUGGCCGGAGCUAGCCAAACGGCGUCGGAGAAGACGGAGUCGAGAGAAAGAACCACCAGUUAAGAAAAAAUAAUAAUAAGACAGAAAAUGACGAAACUACCCUCUAAAAUUGCUAGGUAGCCUACAUUAUAACAGAGGUAACGGCAUAAAAUACCAAAAUUCAGUCGAGAUGAAAACUUGAGGUACCAUUUUGGUGUUUUUAAAACUUGAAAUACUAAAAUUUAUAAAAGACAAAAGUUGAGAUAUCAUUUAGAUGAAUUUCCCGAUCAGAAAAUUACAAACGUCCACGUAAGACUGCCUUUCCACAAAAAUUCUAUUUUCCUCGCCGAGUCAUUGCCAGCCAAACCAAAAUGGCCUCUUCAACUUCAACUUCAACUCCAGCGACGACGAACCCGACGACCACGUCGUCCUCCGUCAUGGCCACUCUCCGAAGCUCCGGCCAAAGCUUCGCCCUCCUCUUCCUCCUCUUCCUCCUCCUCAUCUCCACCAACAUCACCGCUGCCGUCGCCGUCAACAACGCCGUCUUGAGCGUCAAGUACAAGUACGCCGGCCGCGAGCGCACUCUCAGUGCCCUAAAGGCUCACGACACCAAACGCACUCUUCGCUUCCUCGCCGGCGUCGAUCUCCCCCUCGGCGGCUCCGGCCGUCCUGACGCCGUCGGGUACUCUUCUCUCCCCUCUCCUCAAUUCCACGAUUUCGUUCGAUUCGUAUAUUGAUUUCUUGCUUGCUGUGUAGAUUGUACUAUGCUAAAAUCGGAAUCGGAACGCCGGCGAGGGACUACUAUGUGCAAGUUGAUACCGGAAGUGAUAUUAUGUGGGUGAAUUGUAAACAAUGCAAGGAAUGCCCGGCCAGAAGCUCACUUGGUGUAAUGGCCUUUCUCUCUGUUGCUUUUAUCAUUUUUCGGAAUCAGAAUUUAUCCUAGUACUUGUUCUGAUUAUUAUUGGCUAUGUUGACACAGUUUGAGCUGUCAUUAUAUGAUAUCAAGCAGUCUUCCACCGGAAAAUUCGUUCCUUGUGAUCAUGAGUUUUGCGUGGCGAUGAAUAAUGGUCCAUUGGUUGGGUGUACUGCCAAUAUGUCGUGUCCCUAUUUGCAGAUUUACGGAGAUGGCAGCUCCACUGCUGGUUAUUUUGUGAAGGAUUUUGUGUUGUAUGACCGAGUUUCAGGUGACCUCACGACUACCUCUUCCAAUGGAAGUGUCAUUUUCGGGUAAUUCUCACUUCUUUGGUAUAGAGGAAUGACUAUGAGCUUUGCAGUGGUACCGCUUUUUUCUUCUGUGCUGAAGUAUGCUAGUUUCAGCUUUAUUCAGCAAUUCGGUGUGUAGGUGUUAUUGUCCAACCUGACUGAUACUUUCCUUUUCAACUUAAUUUGGCAUUCGUUGAUCGUCUUGACCAUGUAGUCACCCAAAUGAUUAGUUAAGUUGGACAUGGCUGUGCAUCCAGUUAUUGACUAUAAUGUAUAUGAUUUGAUAUCUUGAUAAUGCGAUAUAUAUCUGGCAACUGGGAGACCAGAAUGGUUGUGUUGGCUGGUGAGGAGUGAGGACCGUUACUGGGUUUUGUUACAGGUUGGGCAAAACUAAACCAUAAGAUGUGUAUUGUGAGCCCCAACCGACCCCUUUCCAGCCCAAUUGUUUAGUUUUGGUUUUAGUGUAUUCAAUAUUUGCAAGAAAGUGACAUCCAUUCUGUAGGACGCUACCAACUUCAGCAGAAAAGGUUCAUGGUGAAACUGUUAAGCAACAUUAGGGAGUAAAACUGAAACACUAAAGCCUUCUGCAAAUCAUAGGAUACCCCUGGGAAAUGCUUUGUGGAUCAGGUUUAGGUAAUGUUAGGUCUGUGGACUGGGCUGGACUAACCAGUCAAAACACACUUCAUUGGUCAACUAUGUUGAUUUUUAAUUUUUAUUUUAUUUUUUAUUUUUUGCAAAAGGAACUACUUGUAUAAUCACUCGUAGUGGUCAAAGUGAAUAAACUGUGAUUACUAUUUUGUUAUCUUGCAAUGUAGUAGCUUUUAAUUAGAAAGAUAGGAUAGUUGAUCUUUGUUGUAUCUUUUCCCGUCUACAAUUCCACUGCUGGACAGUGAUACUUACCCCACUCACUUUAUUUUCAUAUAAUUUUGUAUUAAAAGAAAAAAAAAAUUGACAAGCUUCUCUAUGUUUGUUAUCUGAUAGAAAAGUCAAUAUCUUUUGCUGUCUCUCUCAUGUGGUGGUUCUGAUGUUUGUGCAAUAGGUGUGGUGCUACGCAAUCUGGUGAUCUAGACUCAUCUGGUGAAGCACUUGAUGGAAUUCUUGGCUUUGGAAAGUCCAAUUCAUCCAUAAUCUCACAGCUAGCUUCAUCAGGAAAAGUAAAGAAGAUGUUUGCUCACUGCUUAGAUGGAAAAAAUGGAGGCGGUAUCUUUGCUAUUGGGCGUGUUGUGCAGCCGAAAGUUAACAUGACUCCAUUGGUACCAAACCAGUAAGUCUUGUUUUUCAUUAUAGUGAUACCAUGACAUGUUUAUUCAUUUUGUUAUAUAUCACUGGUAUUUUCUAAAAGAUACGGUUUCUUUAUGGUUAAGUGCUCGUUCUUUCUUUUCUUUGUAUUGUUAGGAAUAGGCUUCAAUAUAUGCUAUCACAGUAGAAGGAUGUUUUCUUUUUCUCGAAUGGAUCACAGUAGAAGUAAACACAUGAAAUGUGCUAUGUAUUAUAGGUUUAGUAACCAGUCAUGAUUGAAGGCUGUAUGUAAGUAUCUGUUUAUUAUGAAGCGAACAGAAGUUGAUAUUAGUUAGCACUUACCAGAGUAGCUGUUAGAUGGACUGGUCGCAUAAUUCUGUGAGAGAAAAGAGUGAUUUUAAAUAAAAUGUAACAUGUUGAAAUGUUAGAAAAAAAAAAGUCAUAUGAAGUUCAAGCCUCACUCUGUGGCUGUUGCUUUAUAGGCCGCAUUACAAUGUCAAUAUGAAGGCAGUUCAAGUCGGCCGUUCUUUUCUAAAUAUUUUGACAGAUGUAUUUGAAGCGGGAGAUAGACAAGGGACUAUAAUUGACAGUGGUACAACUUUGGCUUAUCUUCCAGAUGUGGUGUAUGAGCCCUUAGUAAGUAAGGUAUGUGAUGUAUUAAACUUCUUUUUCUUGAUGGUUAUUCUAAAAGUUUCCCAUUAUACAAAUUUUUUUUAUUUUUUAUAUUUUAUUUUAUAGAGAUUGUCAUCAUUAUUAACAGAAAUGUUAUCAUGUUUAUAGAUCUUCUCUCAGCAGCCUGAUUUGAAAAUUCACACUCUUCGUGGCGAGUAUACAUGCUUUGAGUACUCAGGAAGGUAUAAUCAUUGUCCCACUGAUAUUUCUGUUAGGAGAAGACAACAGAUAAGUGCAUUCUCGUCUAUUGGAAAAAAAUUACAUAACUAUUUAUCAUGUCUUGAGUGUUUGAUUCCUUAACAAUUUGUUUUGCAUGAUACACAGUUCUAGACUAAAUUGAGCAUAAGUAACUGGAAAUUGAUAACAAGAAUCAUUUUGUCCAGAAAAUAAAGUUCAUCCCUAAAUGUUAGAGAUCAUAGAUGUAAAUUUCAUCUUGUUUUCAUUUGGACAAAUUUAUAAAAUAACCCCUUGCUAGUUCAUUGGAAAAAUGUAUCUAUAGUUAUACAUAAAACUCAUCAGCCAAUGGGUAACUCUUUCAGAUGCCUCCAUGUAUAUUGUAAAUACUUUUUUCUUUUUGAUAAUGAUGUUACAUUAGAGUUGUUAUCAUUAUGGACUAUACAGUCUGUCACCUGAAUUGCUUAAUUCUAGCUUGGUAUAUUUGUCCUUUUGAUCUCCUCAUUAGAUGAUACAUUGAUCUGGCUUACUACAAAUUGAUCAAGUGUUACUCAAAUUGUGUAGUACAUCAUGUUUUCCUAAUUUUUGUAUACGGUUUGUUUCUACUUGCAGCCUUGACGAUGGAUUUCCUGCAGUCACCUUUUAUUUUGAAAACUCACUUUCUUUGAAGGUUUAUCCACAUGACUACUUGUUCCCCUCUGUAAGUAUUAGGAACUGAAAGCUACCAUCCUUUAUCCAUGCAUUUUUUUUAUGCAUCAAAUUAGCACUUUUAAUAGGGAGACCCUCCUGAAGAGGCUUAAUUUUCAAAAUUGGCUUUUUUUUUUUUUAAAAAAAAAAAAGGAAUAAAAACGUUGAAAUUUGUCAUUGGAUUUAGAGAGGAAGAACAAGAUUAAUAAAGGUCAAGAACACCAAACGUUUUUGUGUUAAGAGUCUGUAGUGUUGUUCUUUCCAGUUGUACAGAAUGGAUGUGCUUCUAAUAAUAAAUUAUAUGCCUCAACGGAAUGUAGGGAUUACAGCACUUCUUUAAUAAUGGUCGACUGGUCUCCUUUAGUGUAGGUGGAGUUUCAUUGGGAGUCUUUCUGCUUUGUUUAAGAGUCUGUAGUUGUUCUUUCCAGUCGUUGGUGUCUUUUCCUUGUUGCUUGUGGCCUUGAUCUCCACUUUUAUUGUAACGUUAUGUUGAUUGAUCACUAAAUUUCUUUCCUUUAGAAAGAAAUAUAUUUUGUGCAUAGGAAAGCUUUCUAGAAUCCCAGACAUCACUAUAAACCCAUAGUCUUUUUAAAAAGAUACAGCUUGUAUCUUUAAAUUAUUCCUAUCUUUCCUCUCUUUCUAUUACUGGUAUUUUUUUUUUUUUGCAGACAUAGUAGAUAGUGAUCGAUCCAGUAUAAUUACAGCUCUUUCUUCUUGUAUUAGCAUAUAAUUUUCUAGUCUUAUGCCUCAAUUUCUGUUUUGAUAAUUGUCAUUUCUUUUACUAAAAUUUAUUCAUGUGCAUGUGCAGGAAGGCUAUUGGUGCAUUGGUUGGCAAAACAGUGGGAUGCAAUCCAGGGAUAGGAAGAAUUUGACCCUUUUGGGAGGUAACUUUCAAUAACAUGUGUGUUUAAGUUUAUUGAUGGUGACACUUAAGGUUAGAGCAUUGGGCUUGAGUGAUGAUAUAGAACUAAUAAAAUGUUUAGAUACCACUUACAGUUCUAUUGAUGCUGACAUUUAACGUUAGAGCAUUGGGCUUGAUGGGCAUGGUAUAUGAUGGUUUAUCUAUAAUAAAAGCAUGUGAUUUGAUCAUUUUCUGUGUGCCUUGCAGAUUUGGUACUUUCAAAUAAGCUAGUGUUGUAUGAUCUUGAAAAUCAGGUCAUUGGAUGGACCGAGUAUAACUGUGAGUAUCGUGUUAUUUCAUUCUGUUAUCUUUAAUUUUUACCUGCAGCUUCUAUCUCUGCUUUGAUGUCAUCUGUUUUUGCUGCAUUUCCUUGUCACUUUAAGAUUGCUCUUGUUCUGCCAUUUCCAAGCUAACUUUCAUAUUCAAUUGCACGGAUCUUAUAGAUAUUAUAUAUAUGACAUUUUAUGGAUUUUUCCAAUUUUUAAGCUUACUCAGCAUUUUGUCAUGCUUGGUAGUUGUGUCCAUUAUGCCACUGUCCAUUACAAAAAACUUCUGUCAGUUCUUGGUUAGCAGUGACUUUCUUUACUUAUAGUCCAUACUCUAAACCAACAACAAAAGGAAACAAUAUACUCAGUUCUCGAUCUAUCUAAUGGAUAACAAUUGAAAAUAAGGAAUAAUUUCUAUUGGGUAAAGCGGACACAUUUUUAGGCUGGACUCCUUUUAGCCAUUAUUCUACUUUGGCAGUCCUAAACUUUGAAUAAUAAACCUUCGGUAUAGGAGAAGACUUGAGCAUGAAAGGUUUAUGAGCUUUAUUCACUAUGGGAAUUCUGUUGAGCACUUAGGCAUGUAAAUAAGAGAAAGAGCCUGGCAUGUCUAUAAAGGUGGCAUUGCAUGCAUCAAAGGGGAUAGAUUGAUCUUGCAGAGAUUAUAUUACUUUCAUUUAGGGAUAUAGGAAUUAUCUAGUGUUUUCUGCAAUAUCUCUGUAGCCUUUUUUGUUUUCCAGAUACUUUUUAGCUGUAGUCUACAUCCUAGAGUGUGAUCAACUGUGAAGAGUCCUAGAGCAUCUGCCGAUCUGAUCCCCAUUAGUGAGUCUCUGUAGCCAAUAGUCCAAUACAUCACUAGUCCUCACCCUAAAACUUCCCUUGAUAGCCUAUGGCUCUACUAAUACAAUGCCAAUUUAGGCACCUAUAAAAAACGGGCAGAGCAUGAAACAAGUAAUCUCAGCUUUGCAAUCUGAUAAAAACUAACAAUUGGUGUUGUCAUUUUAGUUUUCUGUUAUAAGCUACAUCAUAUGCCAUUGCUUAAUUAAAUUCAGAAGUAUUGUAUCAAUAUUGCCAUAUGCAUUGUCUUCAUGUAAUUCGAUUAGGUGAAAUUGAACUGGUGAUUAUCAGCGUUUGUCCAUAUAAUGAAUAAUGUAAAUGACUUGCAUUAAAAGACAUAUCUUGAACAUUUGAGAGGAACUAAAUAGUCGAUAUUUAGGGGUUUCUUAAGUAAAAGUUAAAUUGAAACAUUGCCUCUUCAUUGAAGUAUAAGUUGUGUCUGCACUUUGCAUUUACUGAGGAAAGUUUUAAACAAUAAGCGUAAUUUAUAAUAUCUUGUUGACAAAAAUGAGUUGCUACCUGCUUGCUAAUUGUAACUUUCCUAUGGAUACUUUCAGGCUCGUCAAGUAUCAAAGUGCAGGAUGAACAGAGUGGAACAGUGCAUUUAGUAGGUUUCCACUAUAUUUCUUCUGCUUGCCAUUUGAAUCACCAAUGGACUAUAAACUUCUUCCUUACGCUGCUGCUGUACAGUUUAGUGUACUGAAAAGGAACAACUAAAACAUACUGACAGCCACUUCAACUUAUAGGAAAUCAACAUAGAGAAAAUAUCAUGGAAAGUAUUGUCGAGAUGGUGCAUAGAGUAGCUUCAUAUUGUGGUCUCCCAAGGUGAAAACAAAAGCUAGGAUACUUAUCUCUUAAAGCUUCAUUAUGGGGAUAUAUUUUCCUCCCCAUUGUGAAUUGAUAGAAAUAUAUGAGAGCUUACUAGCUUCAAAGGCUUCAGAAUUAAUUGUAUAUGGUUUCAAAUCUUGAUAUUUGUCUAGGCUUUGGUCUAGACAAGACUGUACAUAAAAUCCUUAGUAUAUGUCAUUUUGUGGCUCCAUUUGUUCAGGGGUUGCACAGCAUGUUCGUAUUUAAUGAUACAAAUGUUUUACAUUUUUAAAAAACAAGAGAAUUGUGUACAUUUUUAACUGAGUCGGUAUGUUACACCAAAUUCAGAAAUGAGUAGGAAACCUUAAUUGUGCAAGUACCACUAGACCAAAUAGUAGUGUGCAGCUAGAGAUUGUCUUAGAUCAAAUGAAAUCAGCUUUAAAACUAAGUUGGUACGUGCACUUGGUUCCUCUGCCCGUGCGGUUUCAUAUGUGUGCAUUCUAAGUUAUUAUCUGUGGUUUUGUAGUCUCAAUUGAUGCUUGAGAAUUUAAACUUGCCUUUCAGUGCACUUUAAACACAUCUUGGUUGCUUUGCCAUUUUCAACCAAUGUUAUCUGUUGUGAACUUGUGAUGCUCCAAGAUUUUGUCAAUUUGCUGCGUCAGUUGUCAUUGUGGAAGCAUAUUGAACAGCUUCCAUCAUUUCCAAAUUUCAGAGCUUUCUUCAGAAGUUACUGCAAUUUGAAAGCUCGAUACCUAGUAUUUGUUUGCUCAACUACCUUUUAUCUAUCAAUUCUAUAAUUUGGUGCUUAGAUGUGUUUUUUCUUUAUGCUCUUUCCUUUUUGAUUUUGGUCACAUUCUUUUGUUCAUGUACUCAAUAUAUCGCUGUUCUUUUGGGGAAUGUUAAUUGAAUUUGAGCUUUGUUUUUGCUUUAUCCAAAAGAUCUCUGCAGAACCUGAAUUACAUGGAAUGAAGGAAUGAAGUUGCCGAUAGUCUGCAAGUUACCUACAUUUCUGGCCAAAUACUCUUUUUUCGUUCAUUCCAAUUGGUGCUUGGGAUGGGUAAUGGAACCUGAAUAUAGCUUAAUGGCUUCCAUGUUACAUUAACCGACCAACAUAAUACAAAGCCAAGGAUAAUAAACUAAUAAGGUUACUAAUGGUUGGUGCUGAUCACUUGUUACUCACUCACACUGGAAAUACCAGAUUUUAGGAGACAUUAGAUACAUUUGGUGAGAAUAGUUGAAGGAAAUCUUUUGCAAAGGUGCCAAUGGUAAACCACUAUUAACUACACAGUCGUUGUUGCUUAGAACUUUGAGUAGCCUGGGGUCGACCAGAGCUUGAGGAAAGCUUCCGCACUUCAAAUGAAGGUUGAUAACUGGGCACAUUGGGCAGUUGUUUUGCACUUCUACCAUGAAUGUUGGAGAGCUUCCAAAACCUACUUGAGACUGCUGCACUGUUGGAGCAUGAUCAUUUGUAGUACAUUUUUCUCCCCAUCCUGAAAAGAAAAUUAGCACUUGCUUAAUUAAUCAGACCAAAAAGAGAGAGAGAGAGAGAGAGAGAGAGAGAGAGAGAGAGAGAGAGAGAGACGAGAGAGAAGAGAGAGAGAGAAGANNNNNNNNNNNNNNNNNNNNNNNNNNNNNNNNNNNNNNNNNNNNNNNNNNNNNNNNNNNNNNNNNNNNNNNNNNNNNNNNNNNNNNNNNNNNNNNNNNNNNNNNNNNNNNNNNNNNNNNNNNNNNNNNNNNNNNNNNNNNNNNNNNNNNNNNNNNNNNNNNNNNNNNNNNNNNNNNNNNNNNNNNNNNNNNNNNNNNNNNNNNNNNNNNNNNNNNNNNNNNNNNNNNNNNNNNNNNNNNNNNNNNNNNNNNNNNNNNNNNNNNNNNNNNNNNNNNNNNNNNNNNNNNNNNNNNNNNNNNNNNNNNNNNNNNNNNNNNNNNNNNNNNNNNNNNNNNNNNNNNNNNNNNNNNNNNNNNNNNNNNNNNNNNNNNNNNNNNNNNNNNNNNNNNNNNNNNNNNNNNNNNNNNNNNNNNNNNNNNNNNNNNNNNNNNNNNNNNNNNNNNNNNNNNNNNNNNNNNNNNNNNNNNNNNNNNNNNNNNNNNNNNNNNNNNNNNCUUUGCAAAACCAACCUUCUGCUAAUGACAAAGCCCUUCUAGCUAGUUCAUGUGCUACUGCAUUGAAGCGUUUCUUCACAUGCCUCCACGAAACUAUCUCAAAUUCAGUCAUAGUCAACCUCACUGCAUCAAGAACGCCUCCUAUCUCACUGAAGUCCCAGCCACGAGUAUUUAAGCCAUUAAGCACAUUAAGAGCAUCACCUCUUAUAUCAACAUUUAAUAAUCCCAGCUUCUUUCCAUACUCAAUUCCAUACCACAAGGCAAGUGCUUCCGUAGCUUUUGGGUUUAGAGAAAGAGGAAGUGGUACUAAUAAGGCACCUAGAAGGCCAUGUUCUGGGUUCAACACCACAGCUCCUACUCCCACCCUUCCAUUUAACUUAUCCACAGCCCCAUCAAAAUACAAUAGAGAACUAGAAGUAUUACUGACCUGUGGGGUGCGCACUAUCUCCUUUAUAACAAUACCAGUAAUUGGUUUGUUAGUGCUCUGAGUCUGAGCUAAUUCUGACUGCCAUUCCUUGCACCGCUGGACAAGUAUAUCAGGCUUCAGACCCUCCUUACCAUGAAUAGUAUCAUUCCUACACUUCCAGAUCCACCAGCAAACUAAUCCAAACAAUUCCAACUCUUUAUUCGUGCCCUCCAUAGCCACCCUAUGUAAAAGAUCACUAAAAGACUGAAAUUUCCAUAGCUUCACCACUCCAGCUAACCAGGAAUACUUCCACACUUUCUGAGCUAUGCGGCAAGCCCAUAAACUGUGUAAAACUGAUUCACUGGCACCACCACACCUACCACAAAUAUCCGAAGAACACACUUUUCGUUUAAACAAACGCUCAACACAAGGCAAGAAGGCAUGGCAAGCUCUCCAAAGAAAGAGCUUGACUUUGUUUGGGACUGAGAGGCCCCAGAUAAUACUCCAUACCGAAUUGGAGUUGGUUUCAUCCUUCUCACCACUACUGCUCGUGCUCUUUCCCACCUGUUUUAACUCCAUUGCCAACCAGUAACCAGAUUUCACAGUGUAAUAUCUAUCAUUUGUGUAGUGCCAAAUAGCUACAUCAAUGGAUUUUGAAAGAUGUUUGUUUUGUCAAUUAUCUAUUAUAUUUGAAAAGAAAAUAUUGACUAAACAUUGAUCUAUAAUGAGUUCUAGUAAUUUAAGGUGAACAAGUAAAUGCUGAAUUGUUGAUAAAUCUUAAAAAAUUUACUUCAAUUUUAAAAUCUAAUUUAUUUUUAUGGCUUGAAAGAAAAAAGAAGGCUAGCUAGACCAUCAUACCUUAUAUGUACAUGAUACAUGCAUGCAUUGCAUAUGAUAAAAUAGAUAGUAGCAUGUCGGUUAUUAAUUUUCACCAAAGUUUUUAGAUUCGAAGGCAAUAUAUAUUAUAAAGAAGCAAACAAACGUCAUAUGCGCGCUUACGAUCAAGAAGGUCAUGGAGGGCCUCCGGUCUGAGUUUUGUGGGUCAGAGAUUGAGCCGCACAUUACAAUUGUGAGGUCUGUUCGCAGUGGCGUAGUUAAAAAUUAUCAUUAGAAGGGUCAAAGUUUAAACAAGAAUACUAUUGCCGGUUCAAAAAAAAAACGAGAAAAAGAAUACUAUUGAAUGACAUAAAAUGUAUGAAUUAUUAUAUCAAUAAUUGAAAAGACAAAAAGUAAGUCUCUCUAAAGCAUUCGUAUGGUAGGCAAUGAAUGGCAUUCGUAUUCAGUAUGGGCAAUACCACCAGAUGAUGUGUCUCUUACAAUCAAGAAGGUCAUGGAGAGCCUCCGGUCUGAGUUUGGUGGGUCGGAGAUUGAGCCGCACAUUACAAUUGUGAGGUCUGUUCGCAGUGGCGUAGUCAAAAAUUAUCAUUAGCAGGGUCAAAGUUUAAACAAGAAUACUAUUGCCGAUUCAAAAAAAAAACAAGAAUACUAUUGAAUGACAUAAAAAUGUAUGAAUUAUUAUAUCAAUAAUUGAAAAAGACAAAAAGUAAGUCUCUCUAAAACAAUUAUAAUUGUUCAAGACGAUUGCUCAUAUUUUGAAAUCUUUUCAUGAUGGUUUCACCGUCAAAUAUAUCUUUCUCAAUAUAUGUAAUCAUGAACAUGUCUCCCAUUCGGUUUCGCAAAUCACUUAUAUAACCUUCAUGGCAGAAAAUGUUCUUUCUACAGCGACAAUUGCAACUGGAAGAAUUAGUGUCAAUGUUAUAAGUAAGUAAACUAAUGGAUAAACCUGGUUUUUCUGUUUCAACCAUUUUUUCUCGAAGCUCACUAAUUUCUUUCAUGUUUUUUUUUCCGAAGUACCUUCAUUGGAUCUAUUUCUUAUUUGAGUAGCUUAAGAUGCUGUCAAUUGAUCCGUUGCUUUUCUUUUAUAAUAUUUCUUGAGAAAAGUUUUCAUAAUUUCAAAUAUUAAAUUCUAAAGGUUUUGACUUGUUGUUUGUAGGGAGAAAUGUUUAAAGAACAAAAAAACGAAUUACAGUAGGGAAGGAUUUAAAGAGAAUGAUAAGAGACAAAUAAAUUGUAGAAGCUUGAAUUUAUGUAAACACAAGUACAAUGUAAAUCAUGAAUCGAUUAGGAAGACAAAAAUGAAUAAUAAAUAUGUCCAAAUAUGAGACGAAAGCAAACUUCUUUCCAAAAACUUCUUUCCUACUCCUAUAUUAAUUAGCAAUAUAUAUAUAUAUAUAUACACAGUCUGUUUCUGGUGCGGACACAGGUUUAGAAAUUCACCAAAUUGUGUUAUGCCCAUAUUAUUACUCUUAUGAACUAAUUGAAACAAUUAAAUUCAGGAUUACUAUUGUAAAAAACAAAAAGGAAAUAAAAAUUAAAAAAUAGUGCAGAUAAUCAUGAAAAGUUAUGGGAAGUUACGACUUAUAACUGCAACAAAAAAUGUACUUCACAAGAAGAAAAGAAAAACGUUAUAUGUUAACAACAUCUUCAUACGUGAGUAUCACGGGUAUAAAGGCUAGUGGUAAUAUAAUUACACAAAUAGUUGCAUUUUCGUAUAUACCUUAAAUUUCGUAAGCCCCACCAGAAAGAUUGGAGCAUACGCUUUAAAAUAUGAUGUGUUGAACUAGCCACAUCAGAUUGAAGAGCGAAAAAAUAAAUACCAAAGUCGUAGGUUUUUGGAUCAGCUUGUUUCACAGGGCAGGGCAUAUAUCAUCCCAACGCGAGAUAUUACUUCCCUUAGGAUAUGUUUCAGCAAGAUUAGCUUUACAUGUCACAAGAAAAGAUGAGCUUGACAAUUCCAUAUGGAACCCUUCAGGAUAGACCAAAUGACGGGUUGAUAACCAACAUAGUGUUUGUGCAUGAAUUGCUAGAUGAUACCAAAAGGCUCCGAAAUGCUGAAAGAUCCAGAAAAGUACAAGUUAGCAAUCAAAUUUCAUUGCACCUUUUUAGGGUUUUGCUUAAAAAAAAAAUAAAAAAAAAAAAAAAAAAAACAAUGGAUCACCACCUCCCCCUUUAUUAAAUCCGAAAAUGGGUAAAAGAUCAAAAUCACAACCUACAAAUGAGAGACUUACGUCGUCACUAGGUCAAAUUUUGUUUUACCAUAAAAGACAAAAAUGAUAUACAGAAAUUGAAAGCCAACUUACAUCUCGAGAUGCUAGGAUGAAGGGAACAAAGCCCAAUAUAGGCCUAAACCAUCUUUCAACCGGAGUUAUAUCAUAUUAUAGACCUCCGCGUUAAUGAAUCAUAAAGAUGAUAAAUCCGUAACACAAAUUGAACCGGCAUUAGGAUGAAAAAAAUAACAGGAGCUGACCCAUUUUUUAUGAAUAACAUGGCUACGAGUACCUGAUCAGCAGGAAAAUUCCCAAUUAGAAUAACUAGGAUUAACAAUAUACUGGGCUAGGAUUAACAAAUUAAAAAGCAUACGUACCUGCGUUAUGGGAACAAAAACGUAGAAGCGAGAUAAGAUGGACAACAGGUUAGCAAGCCGUGGAUCAAAUGAGGAUGCAUUCCCUCUGAAACAUCCACAUAUUGUAAUGAUACUGUCGAUCAGAUAAAAAACAUCUGUGACUGAUCGACAGUAAAUAUAUGUCCACGCUAGUUUAUUGUCAAUAUUAAUGCACUUAUGUUCAUCAUCAAUGGAAUUGAUGUAACAGAACAUAGGGUCAUUGAAGACCGAGAAUGCACAUAUUAGGAUGAAGAAACUAUUCCACCAAUGUUCUGCGGCAGCGUCACGGCUUUCUCCAUUGAGUUCUUCCCCCAGUACUGUUGUCCCAUUCCCACUUAUAUGUCCUUCAUAAUCUUCGUCUGCUUGAGUCAUUUCCACAAUACUGAUAAAAGAAGCACCACAAUACUGCUUGAGUGACACAUAAUGCGAUUGCAUUCUAUUCUUUUAUCGCAUAAUUCUUUUAGCAAAUCCGGAUACUUCUAUAUCGUAUUCCAGCCAGCAAAUUAAUUUUUUUUCAGACUUUUACCCAUGUUUUGAUUGAAUAAUAAGAAGUCAAGAUCCAUUAAUAGGUCAAUAAUAUUACAACCGAAAUGUUCUGAAAUUGAACUAAAUGUUAUUAAGUUAUUUCAUUGAAUUGAAACAUGUCGGAAUUGUUUUGAAAUAGACCAAAUGUUUAUCGACAAGUACCUAUCCAACAGAUCCAAAAUGGGAAUGGGAGAGACCUCAAUUAAUAUCGAUCGAGUAAAAGAAACUAACCGUUCUUCUGAUACAGUGGUGGCCAGAGAGAGAGAGAGAGUUUUAUAUUUUGGUUCAUAACAGUAACUGUAUUUAUAGCUGCAUGGAGCAUUAUUUCGUAGUGUACAAGAAAGAAAAAGGAAAAAAAAAAAAAACCGUGACAUGGGUUAUUUGGUCGGCGAGUAUAUAAGUAAUUAACAGUACCAUGCGCAAGAUAAUGCUGUUUUAUUAUAUCCGAAAAAAGUCAGCAAAACCUUCCACCACGUUUUAAGGAGAAAAAGAAGUUCAUCAACUCCCACUCAAAUUCUGAUCAUCGAAUUGGCAAGUUCACAGGGAAUAGAUCUUGGUGCACCUCUGGGACUUGAUGCUCUCAUUGAUGGAAGAGUUCAUACGGGUAAAGUUCCCAUCAACAGACUUAUGUUCUUAUUAAUUUGUAUCGCCCAUUAGGUUUGUAGGAGACUGUCUUCUCAUAUAUGAUGGAGAAAACUCACAGCUAGACUCACAUUAUUUUUCAUUUAUUUGCUCUUAUACGCACGCGCUCGUGCAAGGCUAGUAUACUCUUGUUUGAAUAAGAUCGAUAAUAUAAAUUGCUUCGCGUCAACUUAUCACCCUAGCUCAAUUACAAUGACAAAACGGCGGUGGCAUAGAAAACAGUUUCUUGUUUGGAAUAAAUCAAUUAUCAAAUUUCUCUGACUGCCGCAGAUAGAUUGCUUGUUUACACUUGCAAUAAUUAGCAAAAAAAUAUAUCAGUAAUACGAAUAUGCUUACCAGGUACAACUAACUUAGCCUCCAAGAAGUGCAAGACGCCAUUGCAAAUAAAAUGCUAGUAGAUUUUCAUUAUUGGGAAUGCUUAAUUAAUUGGACAAAUCCAUUAGAAGAAAAAUCAACAAAUGUGUCUCUUGGUUUAAAUAAAUAAAAGGUAAAAUAUUUUAUAGUCCAUGUGGUUUGAAGUCGACAUCUGUUUAGUCCUUAUGGUUUUAUUUUAAUCUGAAUAUUCCUUAAAGUCACGAUUUUUCAUCCAAAUGAUCAUUCUGUCAAUUUAACGGUCACAUCAGCAAUUUAACUGAGAAAAUUGACGGAAUGACUAUUUGGAUGAAAAAUUAAUCGUGACUUUAAAGACUAUUCAGAUUAAAAUAAAAUCAUAAGGACUAAACAGAUGUCGACUUCAAACCAUAAAGACUAAACAAAUAUCAAUUCAUAAAGGGUAAAAUUAGAACCUUUUUUUUUGAAUAAAAGAACUUUCAUUGACUAGCAAUUAGGGUUUCUUAACAAGGCAUCCCUGAUGCAAGUAUCACGUACGAAUAUAUAGGAACUUCAUAUUGAAGCACAAAAUUUGAAUGUUCCCUAAUUAAAUAAAGGAUCCGGAUUCUCUGUUUGGAUUUAAGUUGCUUGGAUUUGCUUGGAAGUCUUAUAACCAUUAGAUAGAGUAAGGAUGACAUAAUGAUGACAUGACAGUCUUAGUUUGUACUCAAUCUAAUUGAUAGAAAUCAUCCAAGCUAAUCCAAGCAACAUAAAUCCAAGUAGAGAAGACAAUUUCUUAAACAAGAGCCCCAACCUCUUCAAUGAGAUUUCCCAUCACAGAAUCAUCCUUUUCAGUGGCAUUAAUAGCCUAGACAAGCUGCAGGCAGUCACUUUCAAACUGCACUGUAUAUAUCAUGACUCAACUAUAUGGCUAGCUGGAUGAGUGCCUGGAGCUUGACUCGGAAUGCCGAAGAUGCCACUGGUUAGGGUACUUGGUAGCGUGGAUAGUACGCUAGUUUUACUCUUACGACACGCUCAUACCUCCCUGCAUAAAACCAUAAUCAUUAAUGCCAACCACAUUACUUUUAUUCAAGUUUACCUGUUGCCCCGAUGCGAUCUCAUAUGCAUGCAAAAUAUUGCAGACUUGCUGGCAUUCCUCUUCUGAAGCUUUGCCAAAAAAGAAAACUGUCAUAUGCAAAUAGUAGUUUGUGGCUCCUUAAGUAUCGUUUUGGCAAUUGGCAUGUUUCUCAAGUUGUGUUUGUUUUCUGGGUUGCAGCUCCAUGCUCUACUCUUAUUUCUUAUAAUUCUUGUUAAUUACCACGUCAGAGUGGUACGGAAGCGUACGCGUUUAGUGGUGAUGGGCAAGGAUAAUGUGUCUAGGACAAAGAUAUGUAGGAGCUUUAUAUAAGUUGGGAGACAAUAUUUAGAGGAGAAAGAUAUUAGACGAGGAUUAGCUAGCUAGCUUAAGCCAGCUUCAACUAUAUCCUUUCAUUCAUAUAUUUCAUCAUAAUUACAAGAGGUCACACGUAUAUAUAUAUAUAGUUGAUGUUCACAACAACAUUUAGUGGUCUUGUACGUCAUUAGUGGUCUUGUACUUCCGAUCUAGUGACUAUUCUAGACUAAUGCUAGACCUUUUGCUAGCUCUAAAUUUGAGUAUAACAUUUUCAUGAUCAUUUUUUCUUAAUCUCUUGAUUAAUAUUGCAACACUCUAGGCUUCUAUUCAAUAAUCUAGUUCUGUAGAUUGAUGUAGGCUAUUUUAGAUUAAUAAUGUGCAUUAUUUUCAACACUCAUCUUUCGCUGUUCUAUCUUAUGCUGGUUGGUAAACUAAGUUGCUAGCUUCUUGGUGAUCGAUCAUGUUGAAGUGCUUUAAACUUUAUUAUAUGGACUGUAUAUGCGGUCUUUGAGUUGUAAUGUUGUAUAUUAUUCCUUCUUCUUUGUCUAUUAAUUUAGAAUGGAUGGAGCGACGGGCAAAAUCGACCAGUUUAUGGAACUUCAACAACAAGAUAAGCAAUAUCAGGUCAGAUUAUACACACUUGACAUUUGACAAGACCUGCGUGGCAUCAAUGACUCGUUCAUCAUCAAUCCAGAACAUAUGAGUCCCAGCUCCCUGCAUGCAUGAGUACAACUUUCCUGAGCCAUCACGCUCCGUCCAUGCAACCCGACGACUCAGAGAGCCGGAGAGCUUCGCCACCACACUGAUCCUAGCUAGCCACGCCGCCGCCUUGUAUCAUGGAGAGUUAAUUAGAUGUAUAAUGAGUAAUUUAUAGUCUCUUAGAUAAGUAAAAAACUUAAUAUAAUAAGGCUCUAAUAUAUUCUCGGUGGAAAAGGAAAAUUGAGAGGAUACGAAACAGAAACCUAGGGUUUACAGAGAGAUAUGGAGAAGAAAGGCAGAAACGCGAUUGCGGCAGGGGGUAGCAACAUGCCGAGCCUAUACAUGUGUUUCCAGGUACAUAAGUCCGAUAAUUCGACACGAUGGAUGGUUCAAUCCAUCAUUUUCAAGUUUUCAACCAUCUUAUUACUUGUUCUUCUUCUUCUUCUUCAAACCCUAACCCUUUAACACGGGAAGUGUUUAACACCAGCCCGGAUCCGAAAUUCAAAAUCCCAUAUAAGGCCGGCUGUUGCUGUGUCUCCGGGUCCAAAAUUAUGUUCGGCGGCGGCUGGCACUUCCCAGAGCCAGAGGACUGGAAGGUCAGAGGCCAUCAAGCUUCUAAUGAGAUUUUUGAGUUUGAUGAGACCAAUGAUGCCCCCGAGCUGAAGAGAAGCGAGAUGCGAUUUUCAAAGGGGAAAUCCCAAACAAUGAUGAUGACUCUGCCGGACAGUAAACUCUAUGCUCUAGGAUUCCCUGAAACAAACCUACACCCAGACCUCAAGUACUUGCCGCCUUUUGAGGUAUUCGACUUUAAAGAGCAAACAUGGUCAAUUCUGCCGCACCCUCCAUUCGAUGAUCUUGUAGGUUCUCCUAGUCAUUUCGAUUUGUGCUAUGCAAGUGUGGAUACCAGCAUCCUUCUCUCCGCUCAGAAUACCGACAUCUAGCGCUUUGAUGCAGCCUUCCCUUCUAAAGGAUGGACAGUAUACACACUGCAACACCGCUGCCGGGUUCUCUUGGCAGAGCUUUAGUGGUGAACCACAGCAAGGACCACUACAUUAUGUUUGGUUAUCAGUCCUGUCAUCGAGCCAGUCAAGACAUCCGCAAUUUUACCAUCGGAGUCCAUCUUAUGGACAAAAAUGAUUACUCGUGGACACAUAUCGCCUCUCUCCUUGUUCUGCCACCUGACAUUCAUUCUCAGUUGCCUCGUCUAUUUUUUUCCGGUAGAGCGGUAUAGUAUUGUCCAUCUUAAAGGUCGAAUUAUAUGCCUUUUCUCGCCAAAUUCCUGAGAUCCAUUCACAACUAUGGUAAGGACUAAGGACAAGUUCUCUUGUGCUUUAGUCACAUUUGAAUAUUGAAGAAAACUGGACACAAAACCUUGUGGAAGUUUUUCUGAUAUAUUUCUUGAUGAACAAAAGGAUUAAUUACAAAUCUAAUCUAUAUAGAGAAAAGUGAGAUAGAACAGACUCCUUCUCCUUUUCACGUCACUCUAAUAGCUGUCAAACCGAAAACAAGGACACAAAGAGAAAAGCUAUACAAGUAAAGUAAAAUGUAAGAUGUACAGUAGAAAGUGAGACAUGAAAAUAUCCAAAGGACAAUAGACUUCUACUUCCAAUACUCCCCCUCAAGCUGGAUCAAGGAGAUUCAUUGGGCCAAGCUUGCUCAAGAGUCGAUGAAAUUGAGCAGCGGAAAGAGAUUUGGUAAAGAUGUUAGCCAAUUGGUCUUGGCUGCGAAUGUAAUGUGUAUCAAUAACCUUGAACUGAACUUGAGCUUGUAUAUAAUGACAAUUGACCUCUAUAUGCUUGGUUCUCUCAUGAAAAACAGGAUUAGAGGCAAUGUGCAUUGCAGCUUAAUUAUCACAAUAAGAGAUAUGGGUUGGUUGCUAGGAGAUCCCCAAUCAGACAACAAUCCUUUCAGCCAAAUAAAUUCACAAGCAGUGGAAGCCAUAGCUCGAUAUUCAGCUUCGGCACUAGAACGAGCAACAACAGUUUGUUUCUUGCUUCUCCAACUGACCAAGUUACCACCUACAAAGGUACAAAAACCUGUAGUGGACUUACGAUCAAGAGAAUUUCCUACCCAAUCAGCAUCUGUGUAGCCCAUGAUGUUAGUAUGACCAUUUGGUUUCAUCAAGAUUCCUCUCCCAACAUAUCCUUUUAGGUAGCGAAGGAUGAGCUUGACAAUAUGAAGAUGAGCCAUGGUAGGAGCAUGCAUGAACUGACUUACUAUGCUUACUGCAUAAGUUAUAUCAGGUCGAGUGAUAGUAAGAUAGAUAAGCUUACCCACAAGCCUUUGAUAAAAUCUGAUAUUCGGGAGAGACUCACUGGAAACAUCCAACUGAAACUUGUUGUCGAGGGGAGUGCUAGCAUGCCUGAUAUCCCACUUGCUGUCAAGGGGAGUGCUGGUAGGCUUGCUAUCCCACAUUCCUGCAUCUUUCAAUAGAUCAAGAGUAUACUUCCUUUGAUUGAAAAACAAUCAUUUAUGAGAAGUGGCCAUCUCUAUUCCCAAGAAAUACUUAUUAAAGACUCUCAAAUCCUUAAUAGCAAACUUGCUAUAAAGAGAUUGUUUGAGAACAUUAAUCUCUUCAAGGUUAUCACCUGUAACAAUCAAAUCAUCAACAUAAAUAAGCACAACAAACUUACUAGUUGAACCAAUCCAAACAAAUAGAGAGGAAUCAACAUUGCUCCUACGAAAACCAACUUCUUCAAGGACUGAACUAAGUUUGGCAUACCAUGCACGUGGAGAUUUCUUUAAGCCAUAAAUUGCUUUAUGAAGUCUACACACCGCAUCCGGAUCAUAAGAUUGAGAAUGACUAAGAGGAAGCUUCAUAUACACCUCAUCUUCUAGAUCACCAUGUAAAAAAGCAUUUUUUACAUCUAUUUGGUAAAGAGGCCAAAAAUGGUUCACUGCAGCUGAUAGCAAAACCCUAUGGUGCUCAUUUUCGCAACAGGAGGAAAGAUCUCCUUGUAGUCUACUCCAUAGGUUUGAGUAAACCCACGAGCUACCAAUCGUGCCUUGUGUCUAUCCACACUCCCAUCAAAAUGAAACUUGGUCUUGUAUACCCAUCUACUACCAACAACCUUCAUCCCUUUAGGAACGCUUACCACACUCCAUGUCUUAUUUUCAUUAAGAGCAUGAAGCUCAUCAGCCAUAGCUUACUUCCAUACAUCAUGAUUAUUGGCUUCCUCAAAACUUUGAAGUUCAUGAUUAAUAUCAAGAGUACUCAAAAAGGUAGAGUGAGUAUAAGAGAACCUUUUAUAAGAGAUGAAGGCAGUCAUUGGAUACCUCGCAACAUAUGUCACAUAAUCCUUAAGCUUUGCUGGAUGACCUCGUACUCGCAUUGCAUUUCUACGAGGUACAACUGGAGGUGAAGGAAGCGGCUCAACAAUAGGUUGCACAUGUAAUUCAGAUUGAUCAACAUCUGGAUCAAGAGGCAUUGCCUGAACUUCUGAAACUAGAGCAGUAGAAUGAGAAGAUUGACUGGAAUCCCUAACAACAGGAUGACUGAAACUUGAAGCUAGAACUGGAACAGUAGGAUGGAAAGGUUGUCUGCUAUCCUCAUCGACAGAAAGAUUGGGUGUUGGAAACAGAUCAAAUAAAGACUCCCGCUGACUGUAACCAUCUGAUUUCCCAGCAAAGAAAGAAGUAUUCUCAUCAAAUUCUCAUCAAAUCUAACAUCCUUGGAAACAAUAAUCCUUCUAGAAGAAAGGUUGUAGCAUUUGUACCCUUUUUGAUGGAUGAAUACCCCAAAAACACACACUUUUCAGCCCGAGGAUCAAGUUUCCCUCUUUUAUUAGCUUGUAUGUGAACAAAGCAAACACCACCAAACACUUUAAGGUGAGAGAUAUCAAUUUUCAUUCCUUUCAACACUUCAAGAGGAGAUUUGCCACCAAACACUCUACUAGGUAAUUGAUUAAUGAGAUAAGUGGCAGUGAGCACACUUUGAGACCAAAAGAUCUUUGGUACAUUCAUUUGAAACAUUAGAGCUCUUGUUUUCUCAAGGAGAUCCUGAUUUUUCCUUUCAGCAAUUCCAUUUUGCUGAGCAGUACCAACACAACUAGUCUGAUGUAAAAUUCUAUGUGUGCUCAAGUAUUGACACAUGUUAUUGGACAUAUACUUAGAACCAUUAUCAGAUCUUAAAACAUGAAUAACUGAUGAGAACUGAGUCUGAACAAGAUUAUGAAAAUCCUUAAAAACAUUCAGAGCUUCACGUUUGAAUUUCAAAAGAUAUAACCAAGUAAUCCUUGUAAAAUCAUCAACAAAGAUUAUAAAAUGCUUAAAACUAUCAUGUGACUCAAGAACAGGACCCCAAAGGUCAGAAUGAACAAUUUCAAAAGGUCUAUGCAUGAGCCCUUGAUAGAGAAUUUGGAAAAGGCAAUCUAGAAGAUUUUGACAAAUGACAAACAUCACAUUGUUUGUCUGAUUUGCACAUAUUUGAAACAAAGAUGACAUCACUUUUUCAUAUGNNNNNNNNNNNNNNNNNNNNNNNNNNNNNNNNNNNNNNNNNNNNNNNNNNNNNNNNNNNNNNNNNNNNNNNNNNNNNNNNNNNNNNNNNNNNNNNNNNNNNNNNNNNNNNNNNNNNNNNNNNNNNNNNNNNNNNNNNNNNNNNNNNNNNNNNNNNNNNNNNNNNNNNNNNNNNNNNNNNNNNNNNNNNNNNNNNNNNNNNNNNNNNNNNNNNNNNNNNNNNNNNNNNNNNNNNNNNNNNNNNNNNNNNNNNNNNNNNNNNNNNNNNNNNNNNNNNNNNNNNNNNNNNNNNNNNNNNNNNNNNNNNNNNNNNNNNNNNNNNNNNNNNNNNNNNNNNNNNNNNNNNNNNNNNNNNNNNNNNNNNNNNNNNNNNNNNNNNNNNNNNNNNNNNNNNNNNNNNNNNNNNNNNNNNNNNNNNNNNNNNNNNNNNNNNNNNNNNNNNNNNNNNNNNNNNNNNNNNNNNNNNNNNNNNNNNNNNNNNNNNNNNNNNNNNNNNNNNNNNNNNNNNNNNNNNNNNNNNNNNNNNNNNNNNNNNNNNNNNNNNNNNNNNNNNNNNNNNNNNNNNNNNNNNNNNNNNNNNNNNNNNNNNNNNNNNNNNNNNNNNNNNNNNNNNNNNNNNNNNNNNNNNNNNNNNNNNNNNNNNNNNNNNNNNNNNNNNNNNNNNNNNNNNNNNNNNNNNNNNNNNNNNNNNNNNNNNNNNNNNNNNNNNNNNNNNNNNNNNNNNNNNNNNNNNNNNNNNNNNNNNNNNNNNNNNNNNNNNNNNNNNNNNNNNNNNNNNNNNNNNNNNNNNNNNNNNNNNNNNNNNNNNNNNNNNNNNNNNNNNNNNNNNNNNNNNNNNNNNNNNNNNNNNNNNNNNNNNNNNNNNNNNGUACUACUAUAUAUAUAUAUAUAUAUAUAUAUAUAUAUAUAUAUAUAUAUCAAUUGUCUUUCCCAUUUUCUCUAUCGGAAAGGUACAUGUUGUGGACAAACUACAUUGAAUUGUGGUUUUUAAUCUGCCUCAACUGCAUUAGGUCGUAAUAUUUGUGGCAUCCUUAAGUAUCCUUUUGGCAAUUGGCAUGUUUCUCAGGUGGUGUUUGUUUUCUGGGCUGCAGCUCCAUGCUCUAGAAAGACAAUAUUUAGAGGAUUAAGAUAUUAGAGUAGGAAUAGCUAGAGCUUGAGCCAACUUCAACUACAUUCUUUCAUUCAUACAAGAGGUCACACAUAUACGUACGUAGUUGAUGUUCACCAACAUAGUCAUUAGUGGUCGUGUACUUCCGAUCUAGUUGGACUAUUAUAGACUAAUGCUAGACCUUUUGCUAGCUCUAAAUAUGAGUAUUACAUUUUCAUGGUCGUUUUUCCUUAAUCUAGAUUAAUCUUGCAACACUCUAGGCUUCUAUUCAAUAAUCUAGAUUCUGUAGAUUGAUGUAGGCUAUUUUAGAUCAACAAUGUGCAUUAUUUUCAACACUUAUCUUUCGCUGUUCAAUCUUAUGCUGGUUGGUAAGUGAGUUGCUAGUUUCAUGGUAUCAAUCAUGUUGAAGUGCUUUAAACUUUAUAUUUGAUGUUGUAUAAUCAAGAUUGUAAUAUAUAAGUCCCUGCCCCAUCCAUAUAUGCAAGGGUAAAGUGCAGCUUUCCUGAGCCAUCACGCUCCGUCCAUGCAACGUACCCGACGACUCAGAGAGCCGGAGAGCUUCACCACCACCCCGAUCCUAGCCACGCUGCCGACUUAGAUCAUGGAGAGUUAAUUAGAUCUUUAAUGAGUAAUUUAUAGUCUAGUAGAUAAAUAAAAAUUUAAUAAGUUAAUAUAAGGAUCUAGUUCUCGGUGGAAAAGGAAAAGAAAACUGAGUCUACGAAACAAAAACCUAGGGUUUACAGAGAGAUAUGGAGAAGAAAGGCAUAAACGCGAUUGCGGCAAGGGGUAGCAACAUGCCGAGCCUGUACAUGUGUUUCGACUUUCGAGGUAUAUGAGUCCAUUGAAUCGGCACGAUGGAUGGUUCAAUCCAUCAAUCUUGCCGAUCUUAUUACUUGUUCUUCUUCUUCUUCAAACCCUAAUCCUAUAAUACGAGAAGUGCUUCACACCGCCCCAGAUCUAAAAGUCCCAUAUAACGCCGGCUGCUGCUGUGUCUCCCGGUCCAAAAUUAUGUUCGGAGGCGGCUAUCAAUUCCCGAUUCCCAAUCAACGCUAUCAAAUUUCUGAUCAGAUUUAUGAGUUUGAUGAGACCGAUGAGCUGAAGAUAAGCGACAAGAAAUUGUCAAAGGGGAAAUCCCAAACCAUGAUGAUGACUCUGCCCGACGGUAAACUCUAUGCUCUAGGAUUCCCCGAACCAAACCCAACACCAGACCACAAGUACUUGCCGCCUUUUGAGGUAUUCGACUUUAAAGAGCAAACAUGGUCAAUUCUGCCGGACCCUCCAUUUGAUGAUCUUGUAGGUUCUCCUAGUAGUUUCAAUUGGUGCUAUGCAACUGUAGACACCAGCAUCCUUCUCUCCGCUGAGAAUUCGUGCACCUACCGCUUUGAUGCAGCCUGCCCUUCUAAAGAAUGGAAAGUACACACUGCAGCACCGCUGCCGUGCUCUAUUGGCAGAGCUUUAGUGUUGAACCACAGCAGCGAUUACAACAUUAUGUUUGGUUACGACUCCUGUUAUGGAGCCAGUCAAGACAUCCGUAACUUCACCAUCGGAGUCCAUCUUAUGGACAACAGUGAUUACUCCUGGACACAUAUCACCUCUCUCCUUGUUCUGCCACCUGAGAUUCUAGCUCGGUUGCCUCGUCACUUUUUUCCGGUACGGCAGUAUAGUAUUGUCCAUUUUGGAGGUCGAAUCAUAUGCCUUGUUCUUCACAAAUUCCUGAAAUCCAAACAGGCAUGUGGGUGUGAUAUGAAUCCUACUAGAGAUACAGAUAUGAACAGUAUCUCUUGUGCUGUAGUCACAUUUGAAUAUUGUCUAUCACCCUACUCCAAGACCAUCAAGUUCAACAUCCUGGGUUUCCGCCUCCUUAAAUUUGAUGACGGAUAUGGAGCUAGUAUGCUUGGUGCCUUUUUGGUGGGGAAAGUUUUAUUCCUGAUCACGACUUCCAUGUCAGCAUAAUUCUCAUAGCUAAUGAUAUCUUGGCUUUGCUUGGUUUGAUUAUGUUGUUGUUCAUCAUGUCCUUCUAAUUUGAGGCAAGGACACCAGCCUCCCUUCAGUUUGUUCUAUUACUUGCUCUUAAGCAUGAUUUUUUUUCUUUGUUCUUUUUUUCUUUGUUCUACCUUUCUAUAAAUCUGUUGCUCCGCUAUUAUCGUUCAGUUCAUCUACCACUACUCAUAAUUCAUUUGCAUGUAUUAGCAAGGAUCCAGUACAAGAUGACAAUCCCUAUGGUGGUAAAUUCCCAAAAGCAACCAAGGUGAUAAUUCUUUUUCGAAAUAUUCUUACCCAGGUGUUUUCUAAGUGGCAAUGGCUUUACAGAUCAUGUUUUCUUUUGUUUUUAGGGCAUUACGCUAAAAACAAGACAAGAACUACCCGAUUCUCUUUUUGAAAGGAAACCACCUCUUCUGUGGCAACGAUGGCAAAUGUGGGUUGUAUUCUAAACCACUCCUCGAUUGUUCCUAGUUCUGCCUCUCAGCAAAAUUACUAUUUCCCAUCUUGUUCAUUAGGGCCUGAUAGUGUCUCCCCUGCGCUGAUUACAUAACUCGCAUUGGUGGCAACAGUUAUAAAUAUUCACAACAAUAUGCUGGCCACUAUUCUAUUCUGGCUGGACCUGGCAAUGCGUAUCCAAAUACUCAUUCUGUAAGUUGAUUUGAACAAUAUUCAUGCCACCUUUAUAUUUACUUCGAAUUCUUUUCCGUGGUGUUAGUGUAUAUUUCAGGGUGUUUGUGUGUGUGUGUGUGCGUGUCUGUCAUAACGCUCAAGGACAUGGUUGUAUGAUACUAAUCGAAUCAGUGUUAUAUAUGAUAAAAGAGUAAAUGUCUACGUACAUUAUAAGGAUUGUUAAAGUUGAAUAUAUUCAUCUCUGUUACAUGUUUCUGGUUUUUAUUUAUGUUUUCUGUUGGGUUGUUUUUGUUGGCUGGAGGCAAAGCUGGGUACCAAACCUUGUUCAGGCUGGACCGGCAUAUGUUUGUCCAAAUUGUCAUGCUGUAAGUAAUCAGUCAACUUCUUUUCUAAGGAGUCAGUCCCAAGAUCAACCUACAGGAGGGAAUACAUGAGGACUUAUCACUGAGGAUGAGAUUAUGAGUACGUACAAUUCGUCUGACGAUCAAUGAGAAUAUGACUACGAUUCGUCAACGUCAUUAGAUGUUGAUCAUGGAGAACCUACUCACUAUCGGCCUUGCUAUUUCUUCGUUUGAUACACUAUGCGGGCUAGUUACCUUUGUGUCAUACAUUAAAUAUACGUGUAACAUUAUUGUAUGACAUUAAUAUAAAUGCUUUUCGAUGAAUUUUAAGUGUCUGAUGUCCUAGUUAUUUUCCUAUGGCUUCUGCUGCAUCUAAAAAUGUUGAAAGUGUUUUUGAGUUCAUGUUUAGCUCUGUAUAUGGCUCAUUAGUAAUUUGACAAAAUAUAUUCAGUAUGGCCAAAUGCCAUUCUCUUUGUUUCUGCUAUUUCAUAGAUUCUGAGAUUCAAGGUUCUUACAAGUUAAAGCACAACACUAAUGAUUGCCCACCAAGUUUAACCAUUGAUUUGAUUUUUUCCUCAGCCUCUCAGUAACUUGUUUGGUUGAGAUUGUUGUUUAGUUUCAAUAUAUUAGAGCCUUUUUCUUAAACGAGAUUCUACUUUGUUUCAAUGCAACUUUCUGUAUGCUUUUUUGUAUGUUUCAUUCUCCGUUUCGUUCUGGUGUGAUUUGUGCUUACAACAGUACUUUUUUCUUCUUUUUUUUUUUUCUUUUUUUGAAAUAACUGGAAUGUACUUUAUAAUCAAGGUUUAUCAAAAUUUUCCUCAAAGGGCAAAUAUAACAGUUAAAUUCGACUCUCCAAAUAAUUACUUUACCUCUUCAAAAACCGAUAACCAAGACCCUAUGUUCUUUAUCUAAUUGAUCUCGAUCUGCUCUGCCAUUUGAAAUGUACAACCAAUUCCCCAAUCUCCAAUUCCAAUAAGGGCACAGAGAGGGACUUCAGCAAUUUCCUCAGAAAUCACGUCAAAAAUGGCUGGGGAAUGUACCGUCCCAUUGUGUUUAUGGAUGAGACUGGCUUGAUUGCAGUAGUGGGGAAGUUUAGAGGAGGAUUGUUUCUCAACUCUUGACUGAGAAGAUCAAGAGACAUCAGAUGCCGAGAUGCUUAGCUCCAUAAAAGUCGGAAAGGAUUUCGAAAACGGAUGUUAUUGAGGGAAGGAGACAGUUCAGUAUCCCGUACAGCAUCCUGAGAUGUUUGAGAAAUAUGGGAUGUCACCCUCAAAAGGGGGUUCUUUUUUAUGGCCCUCCUGGAUGUGGUGACUCUUUUUUGAUGAACUCGAUCCUAUUGCUAGAGAAGUAAUGUUGCAGGUUGUGGCGGUGGUGCUGAUCGGGUACCGACUCAUUACAGAAACGGAUGGACUGUCUGCCAAGAAAACUGUCUUUGUUAUAGGUGCCGCCAUCAGACCUGAGAUUAUAGACCUGACUAAGAUAAAUUUCAGACAGGUCUGGGUAAAUGAGAAAGUAAAUGACCGGAGUAAAUGACACAAAAUGAACAGAAGUCUAAACAGAUCAAGGGAAAGAGAAUUCGCUGAAUGAAUCAUGAAAAAAAAAAAAAAAAAAAAAAAAGGGAACAUCAGUGAUAUAAAAAUCACUUUUCAUUGAUAAUAUUUGAAUUGUUUUCACAAAGUUAUAUAGAUCAUAUGAACAACAUGAUCCCUAUCCAAUGGUGAGUUACAGAUCAAUACAAAAUGAGCUAGGAUUGACAAAAGCACCUUACUUUUUCAGCAAAGUGAAAUUAAAUUCUGUUAUGAACCUCAACGACAUCUUGAACAUAUACACGCCCGGAACAAGAAGAGGAACCAGCUUGAUGAAAAAAACAGCUGAGUCACUUGCUUCUCAUGACGUCAAAGCAAGAUAACUAGAGCUCUGCAAUACUAUCGAUAACAAUCUGCUACCAAGGAGCUCCCCGGAUCAUAUUUUACAUCAAGAAUUUUCUGCAUAAAAGAAGGUUGUAUUAAGUAAAUAGGCAUUUCAAAAAGUUUUACUUACUAGGUAUGUACAAGUUUGGUAGUAUCAUCCCUCAUCAUUACAUGAAGUUGAAUGUACUGUUUUUAACAAGUAUGUAGGGAGUGUGCCUGUAUAAGUGUGUGUGUAAAUGUCCUUGAUUCUUGAUUGCCAAAGUUUUACAUGAUGGACGCUGACUGUCCGUGAACACAGAUCUCAGACUAGAUGCCACAAUUUCUUUUGCACAGAGAUAAUACGAACCCCAAAGAUAAUCCAAAGAUAAUAUAGCAACUUAUCAUUAUUCUAUUGAGUAGAAUAUAGCAACUGACCCUUGUUCUCUCUAGAACCUCCCUCCACAAGUUAUAUGUGGCAUAUAUACAUAUAUAUACCCCUAUAUAAUAUAUACAAUAUAAACUGGAAAAAUGCUAGGAAAUCCAGUUAUUAAUGAAAGGUAACAAAGGCACAGUAAAGACGUCACAUCUCCUUGUACCAACCUUAAUUAUUCUCCUGUCCAAUCUAUUAAUUCACUGCGAGGCGCAUAAAGCUUUGUCCCUCGCUCUUCCACAUCGUUAACCACCCCCCGGCAUCUCGGAAAACCACAAUAACAUGCAAGUUGUUCAUCGAUUGAAAAGAAUCUGUAAAAUAAAGGAAUAAAGGAGAAAGUUAGCACCUUAGAUACAAAAGUAGAAACCGCAAGCACAGUAAGAAUCGAGAAGAACCUGUAAUCAUAUGUAAGUUCUUCCCAUCUUUUAAUGUCUCUCUUUGCAAAAAUAAUUAUGUGCUCAUCUGAAUUCACACUUAUGACUCUUGAGUAGCAAUUCGGCUGCAACCAAGAAAGGUGAUUCAGGUCAGGAAAUAACCAAACAUAGAUGUAGAAUUCACAAAGCAUAAAUGUUCAUAAUAUUCAAACAAUGCAUAUAUAGAAUUAUAUAUUUCAAUCAUAUCAAAAUUGAUUAAACAAGUAGGAAGGGGAAACCAAAAGCUGCAGAUAGAAAGCAUCAAAUGACAAGAAAGUAGAAUAAUGCAGGAUCCAAUUUACAAAUGAAUUAUCUUCCCACUCCACAUGUUUAAGCUAACAGCAAAAUCAACCAGUUUAUGAAACUUCAAACACCAGAUAAGCAAGUCAGGUCAGAUUAUACGCACCUCACAAGAAUGAUUGAUCAGGUGAGCAACACUUCCAGCCCGUGUGGCAUCAAUGACUCGUUCAUCAUCAAUCCGGAACAUAUAAGUCCCAGCCCCCUGCAUGGGCAUUGUUUUCUCAAUUUAUAUGGAAGUCAAAAUACGUACAAGUUACUGAAUGAUAGAUAAUUUUAUUUAUUUGGAUAACAAUAUGAAUACUAGAAGAUCAUAGAAGAAGAAGAUAUGCUUUGCAGAUGCCAGAAUCUUGGGGAAAGACUUAGCUAGAGACUAACUGAUUCUUAGUUCUGAAACUAUAGUAUAAAACAUUUUAGAAAUUGAUGAACAAAUCAAACCAAUAGAAUCUGCAACUCUUUGUUCUUUUGGAUCAUUUGAGUGCAUUAGAGUGUCUUAGAUUAAACCCAAAAGCUUAAGCAUACACGUGGGAUACAUUUACAACUCGUGUAAUCCAUUACCCCAAGUGCCUUCUUCUACAUUCUAGUGAAUUUAUAGUUAGCAUUUAACAAUGAAAAAUAAAGACUUAGAACAGAAUUGUCCCAUAUGCACAAUGGGAGGACUUGAACUGAACAGUAAAAACUGGUUCUCCCUCUCCCAACUGUCCAAAAAGUGCACGAGAAGAUACAUCCUAAGUAAACAAUGCAAUGCUGUAGGAAAAAGUACUUGCCACGCCAUGAGGAACUAAAACCAUCAAAGAAUUGAGCGAACACCAACUCACAACCACUGAACAAAGCAAAAUUUUCAGAAUGUCUUGUUUCCGUUUCAAGACAAUUCUUUUCCUCACAACAGAAGACAUCAGAUCAAGCCUGCACUUGAUUCCUUAAUCCAGUUUAUCAUGUUUUCUUUAAAUAAAAAAAUUAAAAUUAAGCAAAAAUUAAACUUCAAGUUUAAACCUCACUCUGUUUUCUGGGCAGUUGCCCCUUUCGGGAAAAGGAAAAAAAAAAAAAAAACCCUCACUCUCUUUCAUGUUUCCUGUUCCCAUUUCUCAUCCAGAAAACUAUAUAUAUUGUCGCUCAUUUCCACCAGAUCCACAAGUGUAGCAAAAGUUUUCUUGGAAUAAAAAUUAUUCUUCUCGUCACUAAACAAACAAACUCCUCUUCCAAAUUGUCCAACCUCAAAACCCAUUUUUAUAACCCCAAAUUUACCAAAACACCUCAUCUUAUAUAUUUUCCUCUCCUUCAACUACUUCAAAUUCUAGGCUAACAGAAAUUUAGGAGUCAACCACCUUUAAAGCUCACAGCCAACAACUGUUUUAAAAUCUAAACAGAAAGGACUCCCAGUAUUGCCUCAUACCAAUAAUACCAGUUUUCUGCUUUAUCCAACAAGCAUAUAUAGGCAUCUUCCUCUUUAAGAAACACCCAAAAGUAAAAUCUAUUUGCACUCCUAUGGAUCCCAUAAUCAAUUCUUCAGUGACUAAUAAAAAAGAUCACUCGAGAAAGAAUCAAGAUGAGUGCUUUAAUAUCCCUUCGUGUGUGAAUAUAUCCAUCCAAGAAGACUCGCAGUAUAGGUCAGACAAUUACUCACAUUCCACAGGGAGGUGAUUCACAAUUUCACUUAACAAUAAUCUGUGUGGCAGUGCCAUGCUAGCGAGCACAACCCCAUGAGGCAAGAUAAUCAAAAGAUCAAAGGGAGUCGGUGCACGAAAUGUCCUAUACAGUAUAAUGCAUGCUCUAGUGAUUAGUGAUCACUAAAACCAACAUACCCCAGAAUAAAUUAAAAAAGUAAAUCAUGUGGAUCAUUUAAAACCGACAUAAAGCAAGAGAGCCUUAUAUGUUUGAAUGAAUCAGCAAUGACCUUUUUGAAUAACUUACCACCAAUGAAUUAUAUAUGAAUCGCUCUCUCCUGUCAGCUAUAGGAGGUCUGACAAGUUCACCAGUGUAUUCAAUCACCUGCAAAAAGAUGAGAUAAGCAAUCCAUAGUCUUCUGUAGGAAAUUAGAAUGAACAAAGAAUGUUAUUAUACCAUGUCGCCCGCUCUAUGUGGGUGCUUCGCAAAUAUACCAAACCCAUGAAUUCCUGAUUUUCCUAAUAAAAAAAAGUUGCAAGAAGAAUAAAUUAAAAAGCAACAAUAAUAAUAGUAAUAUAUAACAGACCCAUGCAAACAUCCAGAAAAUACACAUGAUAGGAACCGGUGGAACGAAUGCUUAAGUUCAACAAUGCUUCAGCAUAUAAGUAUGCAUGUGUAUUUUGUUUAAUACAUUACAANNNNNNNNNNNNNNNNNNNNNNNNNNNNNNNNNNNNNNNNNNNNNNNNNNNNNNNNNNNNNNNNNNNNNNNNNNNNNNNNNNNNNNNNNNNNNNNNNNNNNNNNNNNNNNNNNNNNNNNNNNNNNNNNNNNNNNNNNNNNNNNNNNNNNNNNNNNNNNNNNNNNNNNNNNNNNNNNNNNNNNNNNNNNNNNNNNNNNNNNNNNNNNNNNNNNNNNNNNNNNNNNNNNNNNNNNNNNNNNNNNNNNNNNNNNNNNNNNNNNNNNNNNNNNNNNNNNNNNNNNNNNNNNNNGGUCCUGUCUAUUUUUAUUCAAUGAUAUUCUGCAUAUUAUGAUCUUAUCUAAAAAAGAAAAUCAUGCAAAGGGAAAGUCAAAUUUUAAGGGGAUUAUUAUUUCAACGUGACAAGAAUUUUUUUUUUUUUUAAAUAAUAGAACAAUAAGCAUAUACAACUAACCACAUCUGUUAUACCUUAAAUUAGAUUUUACAAUUUCUUAAAUGCUGAGAACACAAGGGGAUAAUUAGAUUUUAUCGCUUACUAGAUAAAUUUCUGAAAAUCCUAGAAUAAUAGAACAAUAAAAAUCUACAAUUAAACAUGAGUGCAGUUACACUACAGAGUUAUUAGCUCAAAUCACACGUACAAAUUAAAAUUCUCAAAACGUACAAUAAAGACGAAGGUGUUGAGUACUUGCUUUAGAAUUUAAAACGUAUAUCUUACCAAACGCUAGUCUUUUCCGAAAAGUAUCCCUCAUGUACUUAUACUUCUCAGCCAUAGAAAGUAUAUCGGUAGGAGCAUCAAGUUGAGAAGCUUUCAGCCUCUCAAGCCUAGAGCUGAACUUUGAGCCAACAACACCAUUGGGAGGCAGUGGGUUGCUUGACAAUUGGUGUUGGCUGUACCCACCAACUAAGUAAGGUUGGUUCUCAACAAACAAACGCUUUAAGGAUGCAGCAGCUAUUGCUUCAGGUUCUUUUCUCCCUCUUCUACAAGAGUAAUUGUAGGGCUCUGCCCAAGGAUUGAAAAUAGAGAUUAUUUAACAACAUUAAUCAAUUUCGUAGAAAUUAGAAACUAAAUAGUUAUCAAAUUGGUGCUGAGGAGCUGCAGGUGUUAGAUUCCAGGCAUAAGUGUCAUAGAGGUAUUGUUCUCAAACACUAUUUACAUCGGGAGGACUUCAGAGUUUUAGUUCUUAGCUCUAAUAUGUGUUAUUUAGCUUUGACUAAAAACUGGCGGUGCCAAAGUAUAAAUUAACAACAACUCACACAUGAUAGUGUCCCUAAAUAAAGAAAGAAUAUUAUAAUAUCAUGACAUCUGUUACAAAAUCUUCCUAGAACUGCUCAGGCACCAGUCUACACACCGCAUACCACAAAAAGUGGAACAUUUUAACGUAACUUUAAUGGGACUUGAAUUGAUAACAAUAAUACUCAUAAAGCAUAAACAUACCAGUACGAGCACAUCCAGAUGGAUUAGAUGGUGGGCUGUAGUCUGAACAUCGACGCACAGUUCGACCAAUGCGGUCACCAGCCAUUGAACGGUCAUUAGAUGGCUGCUUAUGCUUCUUGCAAAAGGAAAGGAAACGAAUGCAUUGACCUUCUUCAUCAUCAUCUACUGAAAGAAGAUGCAGUCUCUCUUCAUCCUCGAGCUUUGCAGUUAUUAGCGAGAGAGAGAGAGAGAGAGAGAGAGAGAGAGAGAGAGAGAUCAG
rnacentral:lncRNA from 1 species